AAAAUCAUUGAGAGACCUCAGAAAUUCAUCCAUUUUUGUGAAAUUUUUUGUGCCCAUGCUAUUUAAGGUGAAUUUAUGGCUGAUUUUCGUGGAUUUUUGCAUUAUGGAAAAUUAGCUUAGGUUUGUGAGUGUCACAUUUUUAUGUUUGCCAACCUCAUGAAAUACCAUAACCUUAAAGAAAUGAAUGUAAACAUUUUUGUGUUUAUUUCCCUGUUGACUGGUAUUCAUGUAGAUGUUUAUGAUUUUUGUAUUACUCUGUGAUGAGAUAUGAUUUUUUGCAUUAGUGUGACAAUUCGUUCACACAUCUCUCUUGAUCUGCACCAAAGGUUUCAAUCGUCACAAGAGGUAAAUAUUCUAUCACUGAUCAUGACCAUUCGUAAGGAUCUCUAAAGGAGAAAAUUUUAAUUUCCACUGCGUUUUGGAUCGCAAUUCUCCUUCAUGAAGACCCUGGCCCGAAUCAAAACAUUGAUACUCCUCCAAAUCAUCAAGAUCUUACCAAAGAAUGGAAAACAAAGAAAGACCAUCUCAUUCAAAAUGUUAUUAGAGACAUCUCCAAGGGAGUCAUUACUAGACGAUCCUUUAAUAAGAUAUGUAACUUUGUGCUUUUGUUUCACAAAUUGAGCCAAAAGGAAUCAACACAUCUAUUAUUGAUGAAAAUCGGUCUCUUGCCAUGUAAGAAGAGUUAAAUCAAUUUGAACAAAACAACGCUUAGAAAAUCAUUCUCAAGGCUUCAGAUAAUCAAAUGAUUAGUACCUUAUAAGUCUUUCGCAACAAGAUGGAUGACGAUGGAAUUUUUUUAGCAAAUAAAGCCAGACUUAUUGCAAAAGGAUACAAUCAACAUGAAGGAAUAGACUUCGAUGAAACCUAUGCUCGUAUGGCUAGAUUAGAACCCAUAAGGAUGUUAUUAGCUUUCUCUUGCAUCAUGAAUUUCAAAUUAUUCCAAAUGGAUGUGAAAAACGCAUUUCUAAAUGGCUACAUCCAAGAGAGGUAUGUGUUUAUCAACCUUCGAGUUUUAUCAACUGGACCUUUUUCGAUCAUGCUUUCAAGCUUAAGAAAGCAGUAUAUGGUCUUAGACAAGCUCCUAGAGCUUGGUACGACCGUCUAAGCAGAUUCUUGCUUGAAAACAAGUUCAAAAGAAGACAAGUUGAUAAAACCCUCUUUAUUAAGAAAAUUGAACAUGAUAUCUUAUUAGUUUAGAUUUAUGUCAAUGAUAUCAUAUUCGGUGCUACUAAAGAAUACUUGUGCAAAGAGUUUUUUGAAAUGAUGUAGAAUGAAUUCAAAAUGUCAAUCAUAGGGCAACUUCGACACUUCCUAGGACUUCAAAUCCAUCAAACUAACGAAUAAAAUUUCAUAAAUCAAGCCAAGUACAAAUAAUUAUUAAAAAGGUUUGACAUGGAGAAGUCCAAAGCAAUAACAACCCCAAUGUCAACAUCAUGCAACCUCGACAAGGACGAAGAUAGAAAACCAGUUGAAGAAAGCAAAUAUUGGGGAUAUGAUAGACUCUCUUCUAUAUCUCACCUCAUAUCGUCCUAAUAUCACAUUUGUUAUAUGUAUUUGUGCUUUCUUUCAAGCAUCCUAAAGAAUCACAUCUCAUUAUGGUCAAAUGCAUCACGAGAUAUCUCAUUGACACAUAACAAAUGGGUUUAUGGAGCCUCGAGGAAGUGGAUUGUGACUUUUUUGGGUACACUGAUUUCGAUUUCGCGGGGUGCAUAUUGGAUAGAAAAAGUACCAGUAGUACAUAUCACUUACUGGGGAAAUCUCUUGCCUCUUUGCAUUGUAAGAAACAAGUAAUUGUCGCGCUAUCCACAAUUAAGGUAGAAUAUGUUACAACGAGUGGUUAUUCCUCUUAGAUUAUCUGGAUGAAACAACAACUUAAUGAUUAUAAUUUUAAUCUUUGAGUUUUCCCGAUAGUAUGUGAUAACACUAGCGCCAUAAGCCUCACUAAAAACUUGAUUCUUCACUCUCGGGCCAAAUACGUUGAGGUUAGGCGCCACUUUAUUAGGGAUCAUGUUGAAAAAAGGGAAUGCAUACGUGCACAUAUAUUUUUACAAAACCUCUUUCUAAAGAAAGAUUCUUUUUCAUAAGAAUUGAACUAGGAAUUCUAAAUAAAUCAUGCAUGGAUUAGUAUGCUUAUGUGUCUUUUCUCUUUCUUCUUCUUACUUUUCUAUACUUGCUAUUUUAUGAUAUAUGUGCUUCGAUUGUUUUCCACCUUUUUAUUAUGAUAAAAGGGGGAGAAAUAUACUUUAUACUCAUGUGAGGGGGAGUUUAAGCACUCUAAUUGCAUGUUUAUAUGUAUUUUAUUUUAACACCUCCCUGAGAUAUGCAUUUUCAUCAUCAAAAAGGGGGAGAAAGUGAAUUUAUGUGCUUGCACAUACGAAGCUGAUAAUCCGGUUGAGAACCUUCCAAAUAUUUUGAUGAUGACAACACCAAUGAUUGUUAAAUUCGGUGGUAAUAACUUUUCAACUCUUUGAUGAUGGUGACAAAACUUGAAGAUAUCUCAAGCCUCAUAAAGUGCUCCCUCUGGUCCUAUUUAUGAGAGACAAUUUAAUUUUUAGAUUCAUUGAAUAAUCAAUGUAUUUGGUCUAAUAAUAGGCCAAAUUACAUUGAUUAUUUAAUGAAUCUAAAAUUUAAAUUGUCUCUUAUAAAUAGGACCGGAGAGAGUAUAAGACUCAAUAUUUCAUUAAAGUUCUUAUACGAUCAAUGUAUCUGGAAAGGGAUCUUGAAAGCUUGAUAGUUGUGAAAGAAAGGAUAUUUGGAUGCUUGAAUGGUCAUGUCUGUCUAAGUGGCCAUAGUUUUGGGAAAGUAGGAGAGUAACUCAUAAGAUACUAAGGCAACUCUCUCUCUCUCUCUCUCUCUCUCUCCUCCUCUUUAAUAUAUAUUAUAAUAAUAGUAUAUAUAUAUAUAAUAUAUAUAUAUAUAUAUAAUAUAUAUAUAUAAUAUAUAUAUAUAUAUAUAUAUAUAUAUAUAUAUAUAUAUAUAUAUAUAUAUAUAUAUAUAUAUAUAUAUAUAUAUAUAUAUAUAUAUCACGCGCAUACAUGCGUGCACACACACACACAUAAAAAGACUUUUUAAACCUCUUUCCUAACUAACAAAACAUAUAAAAAAAAUUCAAGGCUUAACUAAUUUAUUAGAAAACUGUCAACUUCAUUUAAAUAUUUUUUUAAACUAUCUAAUCGAUUGAAGCCAAUAGUCAAUCAUUUGGAAGAAUAUAAAUUAAUUAUAUAAUCGAUUAUGAGAGAGUCUUAAUGAAUUAUAACGACUUUCUAUCCCAACUUUUUAAAAUGGGCUCAAAUAAUUUAUUAUUUAUGUCAUAUAAUCGAUUAGAAUAAGGACCUAAUCGAUUGGACCAAUAAUUUGACCCAUGGAUCAUUUCCCUUUUUAGCCAUUUAUUCUCCUAUAUAAAGGAGACGCGUCUCCUCUUAAUUUCACAUCAGAAUUUAGUCUCAAUUCUUUUUUUUAAAAAUUAUCUUAGUGCCUUGUGAGUGAAAACUACUUGUGAGGAAGCAUUUAUACUAGUGUAGUGCCAUUAUUAUUACUCUAAAGACUGCGAUAUUCUUGGAAAAUAAAGUUUGGUUCUUGAGAUUAACCACUCUUAAAAUAUAUGUUUGGUCAUAGAACUUUUCCUAUAAAAGUACUAUUUGUUUAUUGAGAUCAGCGUGAAAAAUCUUUAAUCGGUUUGUUAGCACAUCUUGGGUAAAAUAGUUCUUUUGGUUAGGUAUAAGUGAUUGUAAAAUCUCUAGACCUACUUGUAUUAAAGUUAGCGGGCAUAAUCUUUAAGAGUUUAAGUUUAUAGUCAAAAUCUCAAGAAGAUCCCUUGGGUACAAUAAUAGGGCAACUUUCGGCCGAAUCUGGAUACACCUAUGGGGUUAUCUCUCUAAACUCUUAUCUUUUACUUUCUACUAUUUACUUUAUUAUUUUUAUUUAUACUACUCGUUUUACUUUGAUAUUAAAGAAUACUUACACAAUUCUCUUUUUAAGUAACAAAACAUUAAAUUUAAUCGCGAUUUUUGAAUAUUACAAUUCACUCAUCUCUCGUGCUUGAAGUCAUUUGUCCAACAUCUUCCUCCUUUUUCAAAUUUUUUAUUUCUUUCAAUCUUAAAACAUGUUUUCUUUAUCUUUACGACUCAAGUUUUAAGGCAUACUUGAACAAUGUUGUACCUUGACUUUAAACCACGGUGAUGUUAAUUUUCCCAUCAACCACCUUGUUACCUCUCCGAUUUUAAUCAUCAUUCAACAACUCUGAUCAAGUUUAAGUCAUGCUUAAACCUUGAUAUUUCCAUUUGCAUACACUUGUUUCCAACCAGUUUUUCAUGCUUAUGUAUGAAGGUGAGAAAAAUAUACAAGAAGGGGGGAGGGUAAAUUGUGUAUGGCAAAGUUUACACACAAUUUAGAAACCCAUUCCCAAUACCCACACAUAAAUAUAUACACGGAUAUAGAAAUGCGACAAAGCAACAAUAAAGGAAACAUACAACCAAAGAAGAAGAAGAAACAAACAAUGCUAACACAUAAACAAAAAGCUAACCAAACUACGGUGGACUCGCUUAGGAAAAUCUCCCUAGUAAAUUCGUCAGUUGUCGCAGUGUAAAAAAUACUCAAGCGUAAGGAAUGCUCAAAAUAUAAACAAAAUAGAAUCACCACCAAACUUUAUUUAUUCCCAGAAAGGGAAAGGGAAAAUAUCGAUAAAAACCAUGAAAAACAAAAAGAAACAGUCGUCGUAACCAAAUCGGGAUGUAUUAACACUCAUCACAUCCAUUGUACUAAAUGAGACGCAUUUAGUUAGUUUCAUAUUAGAGUGUUAGCAUGAUACUGUAUGCGAUCUUCUACCUAUCGAGUGAGAAAAAAAAGAAAAUAAAAACAUUUUUAUUAAACGGAUGUUUUCUAACAUUAAUAUGUCGGCCAAGAUUUCUCAAUCAUGCUCCUACGUAUCUCUAGGUGCUAUGCAAAACUCAAGGCUAUGUAGUUCUGCUAAAAGGGAACUACUGGAUUGAUUGAUUUUAGAGAGUGAUGUUUAGAUCACAUUUGAGUGAUUAAACCUUUACUUGUUGCUCACUCUUGGAGGUUGAAGUCUUUGUUUGUUUUUCGUGUCGAAAUGGAGGUAGCAUACUCGUUUCUGAAAAUGUGUCAGGGGUCGCACAAGGGCAAAAAACAAGUUUGAUUGGUUAAGUUGAUUUUAAGUGGAUAUAGACAUUCAAAUAAUAAGCUCUACUUCAGUGCUCAAAUGCCCAAAAAGAAAGAGACUUAAGCCCAAUCACUCUCUUUUCUUCCAAAAGUUUAUUGAUGAAAAUGUGUGGCAAAUUAAGUCAAAGUUCAUUAACGGAAGAGGAUUAUUCAAACAGGAAGCUUUACUGCAGUGUCCAAAUAAUCAGAAAAGAGAAGGUCGAUACCUAAUUAAUCUUUUUCUUUUAUAAGAGAAAUGACAUAAUUAUAGUAAUUAUUGUAUUUUAAUAUGGAAUAUGAUGUUCGAACAUGGAACUCUACAACAUUAUCUUAACAUUCGAAAAAGAGAAAGUCUAAACCUAAUCAGUUUCUUGCAUUUUUAUCGUGAAAAGCUUUAAAAACAUGGGGACGACUAGAUGUUGGAUCAAGUGUCUGAGGCUGAUUUAUCAAAAGAGUUUGGGUGUGACGGGGGAGAUGUUUGACUUUGCAUUCAAUUUGGAAAAAAGACUUGACGUUGGAUCAAGUAUUUAUUUUUGUUCUUUUUUGAAAAAACUUUGAUUUUAAUCUUUGAAUUAAUAAUAAAUUGACAUAAUAUCAGUAAAAGAAAAAUGGUAAACUUAUUAUACUUUUACUGGAACAGAGGGUACAAUUUGUCAAAUGGGGAUACAAUACAACAACUUAACAAAAACAAACUCAAAAAGCAAACUGUAAAUAACAAAAAUCUCGUUGUAAGAAAGCCCAAGAGAAAAUCAAUUGACCAAAAAUAAAUCGGAAAUUUUAACUACAGAAUUUAGCGAUAUGUUAAGCAAUCGUAAAGUGAUUCGUGUAGGAAUCACUCUAUCUGAUGUUGGUCAACAAAACUAUAUGCGUUUAAACAAUUUCAGAAGUUAAAUUGAAUUUUUAAACUCCAAAAUUGCAAUGCAUUUCUGAAAAACGGAUUAUUUAAACGAUUUUUUUUUAAAUGAAAACAAACGGAAGUUAAACUAAAGAAUUUAAUGCUAUAUUAAGCAAUCGUAAAUCGAUUCAUAUAGGAAUCACCCUAUCUGAGACCGGUCAACAAAAUUUUAUGCGUUUAAGCAACUUAUGAAGUUAAAUUGAAUUUUUAACUCUGAAAUUGCAAAUGCAUAUGUGAAAAACUGAUGAAAUAAAUAAAUCAUUUUUUUAACAACUAAAAAAAUUAAUCAAUUUAAUAAAUAAAUAAAUAAUGAUAAUAAUAAACAACAACAAUAAUAAUAAUAGUAGUAAAUAAAAAAUAACCAUAAUAAUAAUCAAUAAUAAUAAUUAAUAAAAAUAAUCAACAAAAAUAAAUAAAUAAUAAUAAUUAGGAAAUAAUAGUCAAUAAUAAUACUUAACAAUUAUAAUCAAUACAAAUAAAAUGAUAAAAAUUACAACAACAAUAAUAAUAAUUAAUAUCAAUAAUUAAGAAUAAUAAUCAACAAAAAUAAUACUAAAUAAUAAUAAUAAUAAAUAAUAAUAAUAAUAAUAAUAAUAAUAAUAAUAAUAAUAAUAAUAAUAAUAAAUGAUAAGGAGGUGGCGCCUCAUGUAGUUAUUAGUGAAAUUAUAUUUUUGUAUUUUAUAACUAACCAAUCAUUUAAAGACACGUCUCAAGACUUAAAUAAAAAAGAGUGGUGCAGUAGGGGCAACACCUCUUUUCUUUCUGAUUUAGAAAUAAAACAAAUUUUGACUUUCCAAAAAAUAAAAUUCUUCCUUUAAAAAGGAGACAUAUGGAUGGCAUCAAUAUUAAAAAUAAGAAAGAAAAGAAAAAUAAGCAAGAUCUAAAAAAAAAUUGAAACAAACAAAUAAAAGAAAGAAAUUUCAACAGAUAAUUUAAACAUACUCUCUCAAUCAAAACGUGUGAAUACUGUUGGGGAAGUUUUUUUUACUAGGGAGCAUUGAACAUUGUGAGACUUCUUUUCUAGAGCAACUUCUUUGUGAGAGACACACCACAUAUUCACCUAAAACCUUAAGGUUAUAGGUGAGUGGAUUCUCUCACUCAUAAAUGCUCAAGUCUACACAUUUAUAUCCAAUGUGAGACUAUUGUCCAUACUACUCACACUUGAUACAUUCUCAACACUCCCCCUCAAGUGUGAGUCUACAAUGCCCCCUCCCCCCUCAAGUGAAAGCUCUUCUUACUUCCAUAGACUCUUGUACCGCACAAAACGUUUCUUAUUCAUCAUACUGACGCUGUUGACACUCUUCAACGGAACAUUUCUUAUUCACCAUACUGGCGCCGUUGACUUUCGAUACAAGUAACAUGGUCCCUUUCUGAAACCAGGCUCUGAUAUCACUAUUGGGGGAGUUUUUUUCACUAGGGAGCAUUGAACAUUGUGUGACUUCUUUUCUAGAACAACCUCUUUGUGAGAGACACACCACAUAUUCACCCAAAACCUUAAGGUUAUAGGUGGGUGGAUUCUCUCACUUAUAAAUGUUCAAGUCUCCAUAUUUACGACUAAUGUGGGACUAUUGUCCAUACUACUCACACUCGAUACAUUCUCAACAAAUACAUGGAAGAGAAUAAAAUUUAAACACAAAAAGGAGGAACAACUACUUACCGAUCGCGAUGAUUAUAUUGAAGUGAUAUCUUAUGAGGUGAAGAUAAAGUUGGUGUGUUGAUGUUGUUGUAUGUUGGUCAUGUAGGAGUUUGAAGUGUUAUGUUCUCAUGGUUUGUGUUGUCGUGGAUGAAAUAAGAAGUGAGGUUUUUAAGAUGAUAUUAUGAUGUUGUUGUUAUUUGUUGAUGAUGGUGAUGAAGUGAAGUUGCUGAAUAUGAGGUUUUAUGUUGUGUUGUUGUUAUUUGUUGAUGAUGGUGAUGAGGUUUUCAUGAUGAAGAUGAGGCUUUAUGUUGUUGAAUGGUUUGAAAGUGUUUUGUAAUGGUGAUUUGAAGUUGUAGAUAUGGUGAUGAUGGUAGUUGUUGGUGAGUUAGAUGAUGUUAUGUUGAUGUUGAUAAUGAGAAGAGUGAGGAGACGAAGAUGAGAUGAUGAAGUCGGUGAAGAUGAUGGAAGUUGAAGUUGUGUUUAUAUUGUAUUGAAGAGAUGAUGAAGAUGGAAGAUUUUGGAGUGUGUUUUAUGAAGAGUGUACUUUGAAAGUGACGAUUGUUGUUGGUGUUGUGUUGUUGUAGUGAGAGAGAAGAUAUAUAUUUUUAAAAUAUUUCUGGUAUGUGUUGUGUUGGUGUGCUCUUUUAGAUAGCAGCAGUAAGAAAAGAAAAACAUGAGAAGAAUGAAGGAAAGAGAGAGAGAAGAAGAGAGAAAGAAAAAAAAUCUGAGAAAGAGAAAAAGGAGAGGUGAUGUGUAGAGGAAGAAGAGGAAAAAAAGAAAGAAAAGAAAAGAAAGAAAAAAAAAGAAAAAAAUAAACCCAAAUGACAUCCUCACAUUGGUCAAAAAUAAAUUUAAUUGAUUUUAAAUAAAAACAAAAAGGUUUAUGUUGAUUAGUGGAUAAAGACAAAUAAUCUCUUUUUUAAUUCUACUAGUUAAAUUAAAAUACACAAACAUGAAUUAAAAUUGAAUUGAAAACAUAGAUGAUUUUAAAUAAUUCUCCCGAUUAUUUUGGCAAAAGACACAAAAUAACCGAAUAAAAAUCGAGUGCAAAAAUGUCUGUAAAAAUAAACUGAACGCAUUAAAAUUAUCAAUGCAAAAUAAAAUUCUCGGAAACAUACAGGUUUUGAUCGAAUUUUGAAAUGAAAAUCGAUCGGUUAAAAUGAUCAAACUGACAAAAAAUGCGACUGAAAAAAAAAAGUCAAAAAAUUAAAAUGAGCACGUCAGGUUAAACUACACAAACCGUAGGUUAAGAAUACUAACAUCUGCAAGCUCGAUUUUGAAAUUUUUCGCCCGCUAAGUCGACAUAUAGUUGAGAAACUAUUUGCCUAGUGUGUGUAGAUCCGAAAAAUGAUUCUGGUUGAUAUUUUAAGCGUUACACGAAACAAAAUGAAUGAUGUGAUGCGUAGAUAAUGCAUAUGUCUAGUGAAUGCAUUGAUUAUUAAUCAAGAAAUUAUGAAUAAACAAUCGAAUACAAAUGAAUCGCUCUUGGACCAUUCGCUUCUGAUUCUCAAACAUAAUCAAAACCCUACAAAAAUUCAGAUGGCGACAGUACUCUUGCAUGUCACCCUCUAAACCACUGAAACAUGAUAGAAUGGAAAUAAAAGAUACACUGAGAUUUAGACAUCAAGUAUUUUGACUUCUUAAUCAACAAAUGACUAAAUGAAUGUCAUCAAGAUCAUAUACAAAUGCCAUAACUCUUGACUUUUUAUCUAAGCCCAUGAUGAAUGCUUUUGACUGAAAGAAUGCAUGACAAAAUGAACGAUUGCAUUAUGCAGAUGCAAUUGAAGAAAGUCAUGGUAAAAUUUAGGGUAUGACACCUUCCAACAAGCACCUUCAAUUCACAUGUUCUCCUCCACAGAAAUCGCACCUAAGUGCUUGUACCUGGCUCACGUUAGCUUUACAUAAGCUUUUUUCAGCUAACUUUUUAUUUACCAAUUCAAUUUGAGCUAAAAGAGCAGUAUGGGUAUCAAUAACUAACAUACCUUUAGGCGUGCCCACAGUUUCAAUAUGUACCGACCUUUCGCUUUUUGAACGAUAUUCAUUCAUAUACAUCUUUUCAAUAAGGUCUUUUAUUUCUGGUUCGGUAAUUUGACAAAUAAUACCCCCCCCCCUCGCGUGCGCGUGCGCAAAAGCAUCCAAAUAACAUACGAUUUUGACUCUUAAGACCUUUGAUGAAGUUUUUCAUAUGCUCCAUAUUAUUUAUAUUAUGAUCCAGGCAUCUACGUAAUAAAAGUUUGAAUCUUUCCCAAGAUACAUAAAGUGACUCAGUUUCGUGUUGCUCAAAAUUCACAAUUGUUGCUCGCUGCUUAGUAAACUGAGUAGUAGUGCAAAAUCUUUAUAGGAAUUUAUUAUCCAAUUCCUUCCAAGUUCGAAUUUUUCUAUUUGGAAGGCAAAGUAAUAAAUUUUCCGUCCUUCCAAUUAGUGAGAUCCCAAACAACCUCAAUUUAACCUAGUAUUCAGUGGCAUUAGUUGGUUUGCACAUUGAAGUUGUUUCGUAGAAACGUGCAAGAUGCGCACAUGGAUCUCUAAUCACGUUCUCGUCGAAUGAAUUUUUUCUUAAACCUGAAAGUACAUAAUUUUUAAUAUCAAAGUUAGCAGGGUCUGCCAGUACAAACCCUCUCAAAACCUGUCAUUCAUCGAUUCUUUUACAGUAGUCCCUCAUGGUUAAGGGUUGUGUAACUGCCAUGGUGACUUCCUCUUUAGAGUCAGAAGAAUUUGAUAGUUGUUAUUCUAUUGAUAUUCUGUCGUCUAUAGUUGCUUCUCUAGCUGCUUUUCUGCGAGCAUGUGUGAUUCUUCCAAUCUCUGGAUCCAAUGGUAUUAAUGUUGAUCUUGAACUGCACAUACAUAAACAGAAAAUACCCCAGUAGCACUAUGAUAAACAAGAAAAUAAAACAAAAAAAAGACUAAAAUUAAAAUGUUAUACAAACGUCGCCUUGUUAAAAAAUCAACAGUCCCCGACAACGACGCCAAAAACAUGGUGACUUCUCGGCAAGUGUACCGAUAAUGUUGAAGUAAUAAAAAGAUCGAAUCCACACAUAAUGCCUUCAAGCAAGAUAAAGUAUGUGGAAUGUAUAAAAACUAGUAAAAUGGGGGGGUCGAGUUUUUAUGCGAAAAGUAAAUAAACUAGUAAACAAAAUCACAAAAACUGUAAGGUUGUGUUUUAGAAUCUCAUAUUCCUCUAUUGUUGAUGUUUAAUGCCCUGUAUGAAUGAUCUUAUCAAUACAAUCCCAUGAUGAAUUAACAAAACCGUUAUAGCUGAUCCCUCACGAAAUAACUCACUAACCACUACUCAGAGCUUUCUAUCUCUAGUCCGUCAGCGUAAGUAGAGUUAAGCAAUGUAUAGAACGUUAAUUCCAUAUGCCAUUACCCGGGGUCUCCUAGUCAACCAGCGUAAGUACAACAAUUGUCUUAGGUCCAAUAUAUAAACUAAUGGUCCCUAUGUGCCCAAAAUGAGAUUAAAAUAGUAUCUCACAUAAAAAUCAUUAAGAAUAAUAAGCAAUUGAAUGACAUUAUAAAUCAAAAGGUUCAUACAAAGUCAAAUCAACAUAGAAUCCAACAAUAUUUAAAUAGGUUUCACUCUAACACAACCUAACCUAGAGGGGCUUAACUACUUAUAAUUCAAAUAAUAAUAUCAUAAUUGAUAGAUGAAAAUAACAUAUAAAAUCCCUUGAAGUAAUGACCUCCAAUGACUUCAAAUGCUCUAAAAAUCACCCAUCAUGCUCUCAAAAUCAUUCUUUGCUCUCUCCAAAUCGUAACACUUGUGAAAGUGCAAAAAAUCCCCUUUUAUUGGCUUCAGAAUAGACCAGAACGUGUGAAAAAAGCCCAUAAAAAGUGACCAUCACGCGCAUGAUGAUUGGCAUCACGCAUGCGGUGCAACUUUUAUAGGCAUAUCGUGUGCGCGAUGCAACAUGGAGGUGCAUGUGAUCAUUUUCAAAUCUGCAUCCUUUUUUGCUCAUUUUUCACUCAAUUUUUUACUAAGUCCACAAUCUUCACACUUAGCUAUUUUUUCUCAUUCUUUGGCCAUUCUUCUUCAUUUUGGCUCAUCUUUCACUUGUUUAGAUCUGAUUCUUCGAAUAAAUAUAUGCAAUGAUGGACUAUCAUCAUACUGCAUACUACAACUUAAUUUGGACAAAAAAGAAAUUCGAGAAGUUAAACGUCAUACCCCAUCCACUUCUAAAGGAACAAAGUCACUAGGGUUGGACAAAAUAUUUGAAACCGGACCAAACCAGCCUACCCAUUAGGCCCGCAUGUUUCCGGUUCGGGUGAACCGGUUUUUCGGAUUAUCAGGUUAGUGGUUUCUGGGUUUAUAUGGGUUUAUCCGGGUCGAUUUGGAUGGUUGGUUUGGGCCCUUAGAAAAUUGAAUCCGACCGGCCAAUAAUUUUAUUCUGCAUUAUUUUUUUAUUAUUGGGCUGGACUGGUUGAAAUUGGACUCACUAGGCCUAAGAUAAAAAGAUAAAAAAUACAUCAUUCAUUUGUUAUUCAUUCUCAAGUUUCUAGGAUUUCCGAAUUCAGAUAAAAUGCAACAACUCAACGCCAUUUGAGUUCAUGUUCAAGUUCUUGAUGCUGUCGCACAACCACCACACCACCAGUGUUUAAGAUCAUGUAAGUUUCACUUCCUUUCCGUUGCUCUCUUUCUUCUCCUUCUUCUAUCUUUUAUUUCUAUAUAUCUCUCUAACAACUUAAAACUUCCCUUUUUAUGUCACCUCCACAAAACUGAAAUGGUGAAUUUUUGUUUGAUUAGCACUUUCUAAUCCUAUUUGAGGUAUCAAGUUUGAAGGACUGAUGGCUGAUAUGCUCAAUCAUGAUUCAUUAUGAUUGUGACUUACUUUUUUCUUCUUCUUUCAUAUAGUGAGGUUUGAAGGUUUGAAGCUCCUAUUUGAGGUAUCAAUUCUUUCAUAUAGCUGCCGCCAUACACCACCACGCUACCACCUCGCCACCACCUUGUGCAUCACCGAUCAUGUAAGUUUCAUUUCAUCGUCCUUGUUCUCUUUCUUAUUCUCUCUAUAUUUAUCCUUCCCCUGGCAUGUGGAGAUUUUCAAGAAAAAUAAGGAUUUGGAGAUGUUUUUAACACUUAUUUGGGUUGGUUAAUGGCCAUCAAUAUUUGUUCUUUGUCUCUCAAGUACAAUGACUGGGUUGUUUCAAAGAUAAUAUUGAACAAUAAUUUUGCACUUUUAUUAUAAACUUUAGUUAUUGAUAUUAUAAACUUUAUACUAUUAUAUGCAGGGAAUAAAUUUGAGUUAUUGAUAUUGAACAUUCUCUUGUGUUUGGUAAUUGGAAAGCUUGGCUGCAUAGUAUGCUUGUUGACUCUGUUGGAAACUUUCUAUUGAGGUUUGUAAAUAUUACUCAAGUAAAUGUCGCAUGUUUUGUUAUGUUUUACAACCUGAAUUAACUAUCUUUCAUUAAGUGGAAAUCUUGUGAACAAUUUAUAAAAAGUGAACAACUCUGAAACUUUGUGUGAAUGAUUUAUAAAAAAUUAUGGAUCAAUUAACUUAUUCUGGAACAACUCUGAAAUCUUGUUAUAUUUAGAACUUGUUUGAUAAUUCUAAUAUUUUUUUAAUAUUAAUAGAUGGAGCAUGGAGUUGAAGAUGGAAACUUGCAUGAAGUUGGAGUUGAUAGCAUACAAGUAGUUACUUGAGGUAUUAAAGUGUUUUUGAAAAGUGUUAAAUGGAUGGGUGUUUUAAAAGUGAUAUAUGGAUGUCGUUGUGAUAUAUGGAAGUUGUUGUGUUUUCUUAAUAUUCUACUGUUAACUUUUUCUUAAUUAAUUAUCCAAUAAAUGAGUUACUUAAUAAGUGAUAUAUGGAUUAGUUUUAUUAAUAAAUUCUAAUAACAACAACAUAUCUUGUUAAUAUUUUACUAAAUGAAUAAGUUAAUUAAUAAUGUUUUCUCAAUAAGUUAUCUAUGACAGCAAUGUAUUUUUAAUAGUUUGAAAUGGAUAAGUGUUUUAAUGUAAAUUAAGUACAGUAUGAAAAUCAAGUAUUUUUAAUAGUUCGACAACAAUGUAUUUUUAAUAGUUUGACAGCAAUGUAUUUUUAAUAGUUUGAAAUGGAUAAGUGUUUUAAUGAAAACUAAGUACAGAAUGACAAUAAUGUAUUUUUAAUAGUUUGAAAUGGAUAAGUAUUUUUAAUAAGUAUACUUUAUGAAAAUCUAAUAAUACCAUAUGUCUAUGGCAUGAAUUUAAUGUUUUUAUGGAAAUUCGUAUUGUAUACUUUAUGGAAAAUCUAAUAAUACCAUGUGUCUAUGGCAUGAAGUUAAAGUUUUUAUGGAAAUUUGUAUGGUAUGUGUCUAAUAGUGUGUAUGGCAUGAAUAUGUGUUUUUUUUUAAAUGUUAAAUGAUUGUGUAUUUAAGAGUGUGUGUGUUUAAAAGUAUGUGUAUGACUGUUUUUAAUUUACCACUAUUUUUUCAGUCACAGAACGUCCUAUUUCCCUUAUUCAACCAACACAACCAGCAGACGCUGGUGCUGCAAUCCCUUUCAUUCCCGCUGAUAGAAAAAAAGGAAAGAAAAUACUAGUGGAACUAUGAAAACUUCCCCUAUUUGGUUAGACUUUAACAUUUUACCUGAUGAGCCUGAACCAAUAGCCGCGUGUAAACAUUGUCACAAAAGAUACUGAUGCGACCCUAAAACACACGAAACAUCUAACAUGUUAUCUCACUCGAAAGUGUGUCAUAAAAACCCUAACCUUUUACUGAAAGACCAUACACAAAGAACCUUGUAAGUGGUGACAAUGGUUUUUUAGGUUCUACGAGCCAAAGGUUCAAUGUUGCAGCAUGUGGGAAGGGCAUUAACACCUUUGUCAUCUUUGAUGAGUAACCCUUUAGAGUGGUUAAAGGUGAGGAUUUUAAAAGACUAUGUAAACAAUUGCAACCACAAAUGGUUAUCCCUUCAAUGAUGAAUGUUUCUAGAGAUUGUUUUCAGCUUUACCUAGAUGAAAAGUCACGACUUAAAGCUCUUUUUAAAUCUGAUUGUACAAGGGUAACACUAAACACAAACUAUUGGAAUUAUGCUCAAAACCUUAGUCAUAUGGACACCAUUGCACACUUUAUUGACAACACAUGGAACUACCAAUUUUUUUUAUUAGUUUUAGUAUAGUUCCAAAUCACAAAGGUGAAACCAUUGGUAAGAAAGUCGAGGAUGUUUUGAAGGAAUGGGGGCUUAGAAAAGUGUCAACAAUUACGCUUGAAAAUGCAACAAGUAAUGAUGUGGUUGUGUCUUAUUUGGAAAAAAGACUCAAGACUAAGAAUGCUCUAAUGGGUGAAGGGAAUUUUUUUCAUAUGAGGUGUGUUGCCCAUGUCUUAAACUUGGUAGUGAGAGAUGGACAAAAAGACCACGAAUUGGCUAUUGAAAGUAUUCGUGAUGUUGUUAGGUUUGUGAGGUCUUCUCCACAAAGAGCUUUAAAAUUUAAGGAGUGUAUUGAAAUUUCCGGGAUAACAUGUAAAAAAAAUCUUUGUCUUGAUGUUUCUACAAGGUGGAAUUCCACUUACUUGAUGUUGGAUGCUGCUAAAAAGUUCGAGGUAGCAUUUGAAAAGUUAGAGGAUGAGGAUCCUGGGUACAUGAAAUUUUUUCACCUUCAUGGUCCACCUUGUUCCGUUGAUUGGGAAAAAGCUAGGGCUUUUGUGAUUUUUUAAAACACUUUCUAUUAAGCAACCAAAGUCUUUUCAGCUUCACAAGUAGUAUGCUUGCAUUCAGCUUUUCAUAACUUGUUUUCAAUUUUGUGUGAGCUUCAAGAAGCGUCUUUGAAUAUAAUACAUUUGUGGCUCCCAUGGUUUCAAAUAUGAAGACUAAAUAUGAUAAGAAUUGGGGAGAUGUGGGAAAAGUGAAUCAUUUUCUUUACUUUGGUGUGAUCUUUGACCAUGGGUUUAAGUUUGGCUAUAUUGAGUGGUGUUUUAAUGACAUGUAUGGGAUUUGUAGCGAACUUGCCAAGAAAAAUGUUGAGUGUGUAAAUACUAGUCUUUUUAAAUUAUACAAUUGGCAUAAAUCUGAGCAUGAUAAGAAUGUUGAGGCUGGUUUAGUAAAUGAACCAUUAGGGAGCACUUCCCUUAGAGAAAUAUCUUCUCAAACUAAUAGUCCAUCAGUUUUUACACGAGUUGAUGCUUUUAAAAGACACUUGAAGGAGAAAGAAACAAUUGGAAAUCAAAAUGAACUAGAAAAGUACUUAGGCGAUCCUUGUUACGGGGAUGGGGAAGAAAACUUUAACAUUCUUAACUGGUGGAAGAUGAAUUGCACUCGUUAUCCUAUUUUAGCAUUGGUUUAUGAUGUGUUGGCAACACCUGUUUCAAGCGUAGCUUCAGAAAGUGAUUUUAGCAUAGGGCGAGGAUUUUAGACAUGUAUAGGAGCUCUUUAAGUCCUGAAAUGGUAAAGGCUCUUAUUUGUUCUCAAAAUUGGUCGAGGCCUUCUAAUGAGGACCUAAAAGUCCUUAAUAUGAUUGAAGAAUAUGAGAUAAUUAAUUCAAUUGUUUCAGAUACUUUAUGAGUCAAAAGAUUGUCUAUUUUAAUCUUAUUUUAAAUAUUGUUUGUUAAAAUUAAGCCUAAUUAUUUAUUUUUAAUAACUUUUGGAGUUUCAAGCAGCUACUGGUGGAACAACUGCUCCUAGACAAGUUGGGCCUGUUUAAUUCACACUUCGGUACGAAUUCGGUUAUUUUACAUGGUUUUUGAUUUUAUAAAUUUUUUUGUAGGUGUGAUUUUUUUUUGAAUGUUUUGGAGUCACUUGUGACUCAACAACACAAGCCUUUGUUUUUUGGAGACACUUUUUGAAACUCAUUUUUGAUGUGUGGGACAUGUAUGAACUGUUGAACUAUGAUUUCAUUCAACAACACAUGUUUUCUUGGCUUGUAUGCUGGAAACCUUGCUUGAUGAUUGGAAGUUCUUGGAAAUUACUUAGGUUUAAAUUAAAGUAUCGCCUUAAUUUAAAGUUAGAAACUUGCUUGAUGCUUGGCUUGUAUUUAGUACUGCUUAUACACUGGUUGUAUUUUAAUUUGUGCAGUGAGUUGCCAGAAUUUAUAGGAGGUACUUGCUCAUGUGCAGAUGAGUGAGGGGAGGUUACCUUAGAUCUGAUAAAGGACCAUAGAAAAAUCCUGAAAUAUUAAAGGUAAUUCUUUGUUCUUUGUUAGAUUUUGGCACAUGUAAUAGGCUGACAUUUAUAGUUCUUUGAAAAUUUUGCCAAUUUUCUGUUCACUGAAGGUAUUCAGAUGUAUAUGUUUAAUUUAGAUGUGUAUAUGUUUACAUAGUUACGUAGUAUGUGUAUAAUAAUGAUAGUGCAAGCUUAUUGUCUGUUGCAUAGUUGUGUAGUAUGUGUAGUAUGCUAGUUUAAUGUCUGUUAGUAAUAUGUAUUGUGUGUGUGUAGCUGUUACAUUGGUUACCAUAUUUCAUGUUAGAUAUCAUAUGUGAAAAUAAUGGUAUCACAAUUUCAUGUAAACAUUGUGUAGUUGUUAACAUAAUGAUUGGGUAAACAUAAUGGUAUGAGAUUUAUAGAAAUUUUUGUGUAGCUGUUAAGAUUAUAUUUCAUGUUAGAUAUCAUACGUAGAAAAAAAGUGCAAUAUGAUGGAAAUUGGAAAGUGCUAGCUGUUACAUGUUUUAUAUAUUAAAAAAGGUGUAAUAUGAUGGAAAGUGCUAGUUGUUAACACUAAAUUUUUGUGUAACAACAUUGUGUAGCUGUUACAUGUUUUAUAUAUUUAAAAAUGGUAAAUUUUCUUGUAGGAUUGAAAGAGUGUUGUGCCGAAUUAGCACUUCUAGCAAGACACUGGGCGAUCAUGUUGCAGAACAUGGCGCAUCAAAUAGUAAAGUUCGUACUUUCCAGCAGGGUCACUGAGUUUUGGUAUAGGCCUACAUACGAGAUUUCUUCUAAUUAAGGUAUAAAAAAUUUUUAGAUGAUUUAUUUAAGCCUUGUUGUUAUGCAUCUCCUACAUGUUGAACCACUCUAAAGUAGAUCUAGUAGAUACUCAUAUCCUUGAUGCAAUAGAUGCAAGAUCAAACUUGGAGUCAAUUUCUAGAUGUUGUUAUGCAUCUACUUUUAAGUUUGUAUAGGGAAAUUCUUCCUACUAUUGGACUUGCAGGUUAUGCAUCUAUUACUUAUCUUAUUGUUCUUGUGGGAAUUUUACUUUGUUCAUGUUAUAGGUAUUGUAAUUUGUAAUAUUGAGCUAAUCAUACUUAUGUCUUAACAUCAGGUCAUGCAUCCUUUGCACUUGUUGAAAUGCACAUGACAAAUUUUGAGCAGUGUGGAGGCCAAUACCAUGUCAUAACAAUCGAAAGUGGUCAAUUAUUCUAGAUUGGAUCAAGGGAGGAGUAGUUUGAAUUACAAAUAUGAGUUUAUUUGUAAAAUAUAUGAAGCUUUAACUCUUAAUACAUUGACAGGUUGUGAUGGAUGACUUUUAAUUUGGAUUACUGUAACAUCUUAAUAGUAAAUACUGUUAGAAAACUUAACUUACUAUGAAUGUUUAACUAUUUUAAAAUUUGGUUUGAAAUUUGAAUGACUUAUUAGGUUGGAAGUAGAAAAGUGUUAAAUUGGAUAGGCCCAAAGUUUUUGUUUACUAUUGCUUUAUUUAAAAAAAUUAUAAUGUAGGUUAAUCUUUUUUGACAAUUAAAUAUCAAUUAACCGAAUAAACCGAUCCGUUUUAACCGAUAAACCGAUUUAACUGAAUCAGAUCAAACCGAUUAAAAAUGCAGUUGGAAUUGGGCCUAACAAAUGAAUCAAUGGUUUCGAUCGGCUUGUCAUAUUGAGCCCGAAUCCAACCCAAUCUGACCGGUGUCCAACCCUACAAGUCAUCAUAUUCCCCUUUAGAGUCUAAAACUGAUACUUACUCCUUAACAAUAUUUAAUUUACUAGAAAUAUUCAUAUUGUGUUGAAUAUGCCAGAACUUCAAUCUGCAUUUGAAUAACUCUAAUUUCUCCUUUAAAACAAAACUGCUUCACCCAAAAAUAAAAAUAUAUUUCCAUGCAGUUUUAACAAAAACAUCUUAAUUAGGUAAAUCCUCUAAAAACAUUUAAGCAUCCUAAAGGACAAUGAUUAUAUAAACCAAAAAUUAAAAUAAUUUGAAGAUAAUUAAACCAACAUCAACGCUAAUCUCUGAAGAAAAAAAUACAUAGUCUGCUCAUAGAAAAAACACAACCACUGAACUAAGUGAAAUGUCUACCAAAGAGAGGCACGCCAACCAAUGCAAAGUCUUUAAUAAACUUGUUAAAAAUGAGAAUGCCAUUUGUUCCCCCUACCUCUACUUUUCCUUUCCUUAUUCGAGAACAUAUGAUUAAAAUCAUUAUAAACACAAUAGUCAGAGUAACCCGAUUACCUAUAGGUUUAAUCAAAUGAGACUAUAACCCUUGCUUACUUCUAAUGUCAUGUGGAGCGUAAACAUUAGCUACACUGAAAGAUCUCUCCAAACUUUUGAAUAUAUCACUAAUAAAAAGCACGCAAUCAUCACUAAUAGAGUAAUCCAUAUCUACAGAAGAAUAAUCCACAAAGUCCAAAUACCUUUACACUAGUUGAAGUCCAAUAAAAGAAUCUCAUAUCAUUAGAGCCCCAAAGUGAAACACAAAGAAAAUCUCCCACAACUUCAAAUUUAGUCUCUCGAAUACACAAACUAUCAUAUUUUUUCUCCUUGAUUAAUAUAUAUACCAUUUUCCUCUUAACAACACCUCUUAAACUCCCCGCGUCGUAAGAAAUAAUCUCUAUAACUAAACACAACACCAUAGCGACAUCAAACAUAACAACCAUUUCCUUCUAUCACCUCUUCCACCCAUUCCUCCACUAACGGAGACACCCCACUCUCUUACACAUUAGAAAUAACAUCUAGUAAAUAACUCUCCUCUAUGUUAUAAUAAACUUUUAUAACAUCACUAAAAUCCCACACAUCACCCACCACCUCAUCAUUAAUUUCUUGCAAACACAACCAAUUCCUCCAAUCCCCAUUAACUAGAAAAUUAAAACUUCUAGAACAUAAAAAAACACCUUGAUGAUUAAUAGAGUUUGAGGAAGAGGAAAGUAUUGCUCCUUCAAUUUUUCAAACCUUUUUUUAUGACUUUCAAUAACGUCUCAUUCGAAGAAAGUCUUGAUAACUUUUUUCACAAGUUGCACCCACAUUUAGUGUUUGACUUCUUAUAACAACUAGAAUGAUAAGAAACUUUCUCACAUUCUUCAACUAGCUUAGAAGGAACAACAUUAACCACACCCCACCCGUCUUUCUGUUGGUGCAAAGGUAUAAUGAAUGGAAAUAUUCUAUUAAGAAUGACGGCUACAAAACAUGAUAAAAGUUACAAUGAUUGUCACCCUAUUUAUAAGCUAAAACUAGGGUUACUAGAAUAUGACAAAAUACUAAAAUACCCUCUAACAAACUUAGGGGCUAAGAAAAUAGUACAAUUAAUAAAUAUGAAUUACUUCUAAUACCAUCCCUUAAUUCAUAUUCCAUCAAAACUUGUAACACCAAUUCCAUNGAUUCCUUCACAAUCACAUCUCUGCUGAAUUCAAUUUUGUUGGUUUCUGGACAAUAGAGCUUGUAUGCACCUGUACUAUGGUACCCUAUCAGAAUCAUCACUUUGCUUCUAUCAUCCAGCUUCUGUCUUCUGGCUUCUGGAACAUGUUUAUAACAAACAGAACCAAACACAUUCAGAUGACUAACACUUUGCUUAUCUCCAGUCCACUUUUGUAUUGGAACUAUUUCCUUUAACUUCUUCGUAGGACAUCGGUUGAGUACAUACGUUGCAGUGGCAACAACUUCUCCCCAGAGCUUCUGAGGAAGUUUCUUCUCCUUUAGCAUGCUUCUCACCAUAUUAAGCAAAGUGCGGUUUCUUCUUUCAGCAAGAUCAUUGUGUUGAGGGGUAUAAGGAGCAGUAACCUCAUGCUCAAUUCCAUUCUCCUCGCAGAACUUCUGGAACUCUUUGGAGUUAUACUCACCUCCACCGUCAGUUCUAAGAAUCUUCAACUUCUGACCACUCUGAUUCUCAGCCUUCAUUCUGAAUUUCUUGAAUUCAUCAAACACCUCGUGUUUAAACUUAAUAAGGGAUACCCAUGUCAUUCUUGUGAAUUCAUCAACAAAUAACACAAAGUAUUUAUUCCCUCCAAUCGAUGCUACUGGAAAUGGACCACACACAUCAGAAUGUACAACUCCCAAGGCAUGUUUUGCUCUUGGAGCAGUUUCUGACGCAAAUGGCAAUCGUGGUUGUUUUCCUUCCAUGCAAACUUUGCAUGACUUUUCAGGCUUCUUAAUUGCAGGAAUUCCAUGUACCAACUUCUUUGAAUUCAGAUGUUUUAAGCUUCUGAAAUUCAAAUGACCAAAUCUUCUGUGCCACAGCUCACUCUCCUUCUCAGCACUUGUUGCACUAAGACAUUCUGAGUCUGCAGUUCUGACAUUCACCUUGAAUGUUCUAUUCCUUCCCUGUUCUGACUCCAUAAUCAACUUCUGAUUGCAGUCAUACAGCUUCAGAAGAUUGUCCUUCAUGGUAACUGAAAAACCUUUCUCAAUUAAUUGUCCCACACUCAUCAGAUUGCUUCUGAUGCCAGGUACAUACCACACGUUCUGAAUCAAUGCUGUUUUCCCAUUGUUCAGAAUCACUCUGACAUUUCCCAUACCUUCUGCAUUAAGAUAUUUGUCAUCAGCACAUCUGAUCUUUGUCCUCUUUUCAGAGUCAAAGUCAACCAGCCAUUUCUUGUUUCCAGUAAGAUGAUUUGAACAGCCAGUGUCCAUAUACCACCAGUCUAUCAGAUCCAUAUCAUCAGAUUCAGAGGCCAUCAAUAGCACAGAUUCGUCAUCAGAACUUCUGGCUAUAUUUGCUUCUUCUGAUUUUCUCUCCUUGUUUGACCAACAGUCUCUAGCAAAGUGACCAAACUUCUUACAACAGUAACAUUGGAUCUUCUUCUUGUCAUACUUCUCUUUUCCCUUCUGAGCAUUCUUUUGUCUAUCAGAGGUUGAGCUUUCUGACUUCUGACCACCAUCAGAUCUUCUCCUGGCUUCUGACUGCUUCUGAUACCUCCUAUCAGAAGUUGCUUUCAGAGCCUGCUGCUCUACUUCCCUUUCAGAAGUUCUCUCAGUCAAACGCAACUCUUGCGCUUCUAGACUGCUCUGCAGCUCUUCAAUUCUCAUGGUGCUCAGAUCUUUGGAAUGUUCUAUUGCUACCACAAUGUAAUCAAAUUGAGAGGUAAGGGAUCUCAAUACCUUCUCCAUGAUUGUUUCUUCAGAAAGAGUUUCUCCACACGCUUUCAUCUCAUUAGUGAUCAGAAUCACUCUGGAGAUGUAUUCAGAAACUUUCUCAUUAUUCUUCAUGUUGAGAUUCUCAUAUUGCUUUCUCAAGGACUGAAGCUUCACCUUCUUCACUGAUGCGUCACCACCAUAACAUCUAACCAGUGUGUCCCACGCAGCCUUUGCUGUCGUUGAAUCUGCAAUCUUCUCAAACACAUUUACAUCAACACAUUGAUGAAUGAAGAACAAUGCUUUCUGAUCCUUCUUCCUUACUUCCUUCUGCGCGUUUUUCUGUUCAUCCGUCGCAUCUGCUGCUACCGGAACAUAACCAUCAGUGACAAGAUCUAGAACAUCUUGAGCACCGAACAGUACACGCAUUUGGAUCAUCCAACGAUUCCAGUUUUUACCGUCAAAUACUGGAAGUUUGGUGUUCAUGUUGCCGUUUCCGUUCAUCUUUCUACCUUGCACAGUACACUCAGAUUUCUCACACAGUGUUUCCCAACCCACAGAAUUAAAAUUCUGAUCAGAUUUUGUUCAAGAUUCAACACGAAUCUAAGAAUCAAAAUCAAACACACAAGACCUCACAUUCACUCGUGUUUCCCGUGUUUCCCAAUGAAUCCGAACCGGAGCUCUAGAUACCAAUUGUUGGUGCAAAGGUAGAAUGAAUAGAAAUAUUCUAUUAAGAAUGACGGCUACAAAACAUGAUAAAAGUUACAAUGAUUGUCACUCUAUUUAUAAGCUAAAACUAGGGUUACUAGAAUAGGACAAAAUACUAAAAUACCCUCUAACAAACUUAGGGGCUAAGAAAAUAGUACAAUUAAUAAAUAUGAAUUACUUCUAAUACUUUCAACCAUCUUGCGAGACUUAGACAACACAAACACCAAUUUCAUCAACGAUAGUGACAAUUGGAUUAAUGUGAAUAUUGUCAUUUGACAUCUUUUAAUCAAAUGGAAAAAUAAUUUAUACACUAUACUUUUUUUUAGAUUCAAAAUAUCUCAUAUUUUAAAAAAAAAAACACAUGCUGAUAAAUUAAUCAAUGUCGUUUUUUGUGUGUUGAUUAUAACAUUUUAUAAAAUUCACUCCCUAUCUAUACUUAAAAAAAAAUUAAGAUAAAUUGAACAUGUUCGACCAUAGUUGUGCUAAGUGUUUAAUAAGUUAAAUUUUAUGUCCCAUUUUUAUUCUUUUUUAUAUUUAAUAUUUUGCCUUAUUAAAAAAUAAAAUAAAAUAAAUAUUUAUAAAGUUAUUUUAUAUUUCAAUGUCAUUUGAUUAUAUAAAUACUAACCUUCAAUAGAAAAAUAAAUUAAAAUUUAAUCAUAAAUAACAUUUCCCUUAAGAAACCAUAAAUAUUAUGUAAAAAAAUCCUUAAAAUAAUACAACUUUCAUUAAAAAAAAACAAGGUUUGUAUAUUGUAAUUGUAUAGUUGAGUUGAGAAAGUGGAGGCAGUGAGAUAAUAGAGUCUCAAAUUCUUCAAGGUUAAGUCCUCGUUUUUGUUUCUCUCUCUAUAUUUCUCUUUCUCUCUCAUCAAGGUUGGAGAUCUCAUCUCCUCCACCACAUCCACCACCACCACCACCACCACCACCAUGCUCUUCAGAUUCUCUCUCCUCCUGAUUCUUCUCCUCUCUCCGGCCUUCGCUUCCGAGUCAGAUCACAAGGUCAGAUUUCACAAUUCCACUCCUCGAUCUGAUUUUUAUGAAUUAGAUCCACCUUUCAAUUUUCUCAGCUUCGUGUUUUUGUUUUCGUUUCUGUUCUAAAUCCGAGUUACAUAGUUGAAUCUUUUGGUGUCAGAUCUCAACUGUUUGCUCACUCCAUUUCAUCAUGCACGCUUCUGGUUGUGCCUUUGAUGUGGAUUUUUAGAUGAUUGCCAUUUCCAUUAGACAUUGAUUUCAAUUCAUGAUAUUUGAUAGGUUUGGAAUUACACAAACAUGAAAAUUCACUUGUGUGUGCGUUAGAUAGAGAGUGCAAUUAUUCAUUGUUUUUUGUAAUAAUAGAGUGAUUAACUAGCUUGUUUACUUUAAUACAUACUUCUUAUUUUACUGUUGUAACGUCGGAGACAUUGGCUAAUAUUCAAUAUUGAAGGAAAUUCAUUGUUGUUUGGUUCCUUUAUUUAGUCUUAGCUUGUAUCCAAACACAAGAUUUGUUGAAAAUUGAGAGGGUGUGUUUUAGAGUUCUUACCUUAUUCUUUUGGGCUGUCUGUUAGCUAUAUUUUUAUCAUUCUAAAGGUUGAAAUGAUGAUGCACAUAUGACAUACCUAUCCAAUGGGAAGUUUGUUUAGAAAAUGAGUUAGUGCUUAGCAGUGCUUAGGUGUUGCAGUCUUUCCCUUUCAUAGGAACUUAUUAGUUUCAUCUGGAUGGUGCAUGCAUGCUGUGUGUUAUGUAUGAACCAUGUAUCUUAUAUUGAUUCAUGAUGACACAAAAAUAAUUAUGUAUAGUACGCUACACUUACAUGAAUGGUCACAAUUAAUAUCUGGAAUGUACUAGGAAAUCUCUUUAAGCAAUUCUAACCUAUUUUUCACAGACUUAACAGAUUAAAGGCGUAUGACUGACACAUGUAGUUACAUUUAAUCACUUUCAUUUUCUCAAAUUAUUACUUGUGUCUACGUGGCAGUGUCAAUAUUGUAUUUGGUAUCUGUGUUUCUUAUACCUGCUCUCCUUUUCUUGAGCUUAUUGUAAUGAUUAAAUUAUGUGUCUUUCUAUAUGUAGCUUCCUGCGGACAAUAGUCAUCUCUUUAAAGCAUGUAGUUUGUUUUAUGUUUUUGCAGUAUCAACAAGAUGACCCAGUUACCCUUUGGGUGAACAAAGUAGGUCCUUAUAAUAAUCCACAAGAAACAUACAACUAUUACAGCCUCCCAUUUUGCCGUCCACCUGGUGAUGCUCCUCACAAAUGGGGUGGUCUAGGCGAGGUCCUUGGAGGCAAUGAACUUAUUGAUAGUCAAAUUGAGAUAAAGUACCUAGGUAUGAAGGCUUAUUUCGUCCUAUUUUGUUUUUGCUAGAAGACCUAGCAGUAGACAGACUGGCUUUAAUAGCUAUUUUCUCUAUUUUUAGGGAAUGUGGAAAGGACCACUUUUUGCCGCUUGAAUCUUGAUGAUGCAAAGGUUAAACAGUUCAAGGAUGCAAUAGAAAAUAAUUACUGGUUUGAAUUCUUCAUGGGUAUGUUAUGCAUUGUUUCUUUCCUGUACCUAUUACUCUGAGAAUUGAUAAAAGAAAUGUACUUGUGGGUAGUAUAAAAAGUUUAGAACUAUUUAGAAGCUCGAUGCAUUUGUUUGUCUUUGUUCUUCUAUAAAAUGAAGACGGUGGGGUAAAUAAUAUCUUACCCAGAAAAUAUUGGCUCUUAGAACCCAGUAUGGACAAACUUCACAAAAAGCACGGGAUUUUUUUUUUGAAAGAAUUACUGUCUUGUCUAUCCAAUCAGAUGCUUUGAAUCAACUUCAAUGAGAUGCCAUUGGAAAAGGCCAACAGUGUUUUAACACAUCUUUUAAAACAGGAAAGAAAAUGAAAACAAAGUGGUGCUUCUAAAGUUGAGAAUAAGAAUUUUUUUCUUUCGAAAACCAAACAAGCCUUUAGAAACUUUUAUGUGAAGUUAUUGCCUGCUAGGCAUUCUUAACCGGUACUAUAAUCACGUUGACAUGAAAAAAAAUGGCACCAGGUCCUACAGAGCUUCCUCUAUGUGUUGGGCCUGCAGACCAUGUUUUGUAACAUUAUCUUUUAAUCUUAAUCUUUUGUUACAUUACACGCCAACAUUCUAUUUGACUACCUUUCUAAUCUCCUUUGUCAUCCCAUUUCAAAUGUUAACAUUUCCUUGGAUCUCCUCAAAACCACCCAAAAAAAGUCUCUCUUUGAAGGAGUCAUUUUUUUAAACCCUCAAUAGUCACCAUUUUGUACCGUGGUUGUUAACUCGAUACUCGAUUGUUUCUAUUAACUUUCCUCUCAAACCGUACUUCCUUAACCAAAGUAGGCAAAGCUGCUGCCCGGCCCUUUGUGGGUUACAGGUUUUUUGGGCCAGCCCAGCUUAUGCGAAACUUUUAAUUUUUACCUAAAACUGAUUUAAGAUACCUUGAAAAACUGUCUAUUCAGCAACAUCCGCCCCUAAAAUUGGAUUCUUCAGCAACAUAGAUGUGCAGCAGUAGUCAACAGGUUGUCAAAAUCGGGAUCUUGCAUAAGAUCGGGAGGAGAUAGAAAGAUCGUAAAACAUAAAAUCGUAACUAAUUGGAAGAUUCUACUCAAUUAUUUUUGUAAGAUCGAGAGGGGGUAGCAAGAUCCUAAAACAUAAGAUCGUAACAAAAAUCGUAAGAUACUACUAAAACGGAAAAUAAUACUACAUAUUUGAAGUAUUUCUACAUGAUAUUUUCGUAGGCAAGCAUAUCCGUAGGAAAUGGAAGCCGCCUGACCGAAAUUGUUGCUCCUUUGUAUCUUGUCAUCCUUCCCGGCCUGUAAUGGUGGUGGCCAGAAGACGGUUGAUCAUGGCCGGAACUGGCCAAUCACACAUAAUCAAUGGUUUUACCAUUUCCUUUCACAAUUUGACUACAACACACGUUUCUACUCAAGUUCUAGAUCGUUCUAGGUGAGUGAGAUCGUAAAAUUGUAAGAUUUUAAGAUUUAAAUCGUUAUUUUGAUAACCGUGGUCAACACACCCAAAUACAUUAAAAAGGUAGUAUAAUAGUUUUAAGUAAUUGAGGGGAAGCCACUACCCAGCCCACAGAGGUAUAUAUAACUACUUGAAAUAACAAUAAACCAGAGAGAGACGGUAAUUAAAAACAAUUUCAUCAAAACAUUUUUAUCUCAAUUUCUGUGGCAAGUAAACUCAAUUGAACACAGCAUUCAUACUUCUUUCACAAGGUGCCACAUUGUAGGGAUUCCCCCAUUACUUCUAGUGCAGCGUCCCUCUUCAUAUCAGCAGUUUUACGCCACUACAGAAGUACAUAUAUACUGGCAUACUGCUUUUUUUGGUGGUAUAUCAUAAAUAAUGGGCCUAGUGUUUUUUACUCUGUGUGUGGGUUGGGCAGUGGGCAAUGUAUAAGAAUUUGCUGGUUUUUUUAUAUGUAAUAAGCGGGGUACUCUGAUUAGAGUUUGAACUUCAUCAAGGUGGGCCAAAAAACCUGGCUUGAGGAACAGGCUUAAAAAGCUGUCCUAGCCCAGUCAUUUUGUGGGUUUUUUUGGGCUGGCCCAACCCAUUUUGCCAGUUCUAGUAAUACUAUCUUGGCAUGACUAUGCAAAUUCUGCAAAGUUGCAAACUUUUCUUUCCGAUUCCCUUGUCAGAAAGAUAUAAAUUUGAGAGCAAGCCACACCCCACACAUGCGUUAUAAGAUGCUCCGGCCAUUGCACCAAGACUUCCCUUCAAAAGUAUAAAGAUUAUUUGUUUAAAGUUCUUUACUAAGCAUUUUUCAAUACCUAGCUGUAGGGAUUAUUGGGGAACUGAAAUUAUGUUAUUUUGAUAAGUAUAACAAUGUGAAUGAGAAUUCGUUCUUUCUGUUGGUUCUUAUCAUUUGUUUUCAUUUUUAUUUAUUUAUUUUUAAAAAUUGCCGAAUAACUUACUUUUGCCAUUGUUUUAUUUUUUGGUUGUUAUAUCUGUUGAUCUUCAAUGCGCUAAAUACAAAUUCAGAUGAUCUUCCAUUAUGGGGUAUGCCUACAACUGCCUUUUUCUCUCCGGUUGAUAUCAUUUUGUGUUUCAUUUGUUCAUCAUUAUCGAAGGGUCUUUUAUUCAUGUUUAAGGGUAUGUUGGAGAGUUGCAUCCUGAUAAGAACAGUGAUAGUGGCAAGCAUGUCCUUUACACACACAAGAACAUCAUUGUUAAAUACAAUCAAGAUCAGGUGAGAUAAUUGUUGGGAUAUCUUUGCUACUUUGUUAGCUGUUUUGGGAGGUUCAUGAGGUGCCAUUUUAAGAUCCUCUUUUUUUGCAGAUCAUUCAUGUGAACCUCACCCAUGAUGACCCAAAACCUUUGGAAGUAGGAAGAUCGUUGGACAUGACAUAUUCUGUCAAAUGGAUUCCCACUAAUGUCACUUUUAGACACCGGUUUGAUGUAUAUCUGGAUUAUCCAUUCUUUGAGCAUCAGGUGAAAAAUAAAUUCUGCCUGUUGUAUUUUAGCUUGAAUUGGUGCUUAUGUGCCAUUGUUUACUUGCUUUGUUCUCAUUCUUGUGUUGUGGUCGUUUCACUGAUCAAACUCUGCUUCUCUGACUUUUUGUAGAUUCAUUGGUUCUCCAUUUUUAACUCUUUUAUGAUGGUUAUAUUCCUUACUGGGUUGGUGUCUAUGAUAUUGAUGCGAACACUGAGAAAUGACUAUGCAAAGUAUGCUCGGGAAGAUGAUGAUUUGGAAACUCUGGUAAGGCUGUGUUAACUUUUGUUUUUUUCCCCAUGUAUUUGUGGAAUAUAUGUAUGGAAUUUCCAUUGUGAUUCUGAUGAUCAAUUCUUUGUCAACACUGAAAUGGUUUUAGGAAAGAGAUGUCAGUGAAGAAUCUGGUUGGAAACUUGUGCAUGGUGAUGUUUUUCGGCCUCCUCGCAAUCUGGCACUUAUUUCAGCUGUAGUUGGUACAGGUGCUCAGCUUGCAUUGUUGAUUCUUCUUGUCAUCUUGUUAGCUAUUGUUGGGAUGUUGUAUGUCGGGUAAGUUCUUGACCUUGAAAUAGCUAUAAUGUUACUCUGAAUGAUUUUAUCAAUGAUUGUGUACGAAGUGGACUUGAUGUACAUGCACGUGUUAUCUUCUACUUGUAGGUGUAUGUCUUGACUAUCAUUGAGUGAUCCAUUGCUAUAGUUUUCCUGUUGAAUGUAUUUUGUUUGCUCAUUUCUUCUUCAUUAUUAUGCACAUUUACUUUAAAAUGCAGACGAGGAGCCAUCGUCACAACUUUCAUUGUAUGUUAUGCUCUCACAUCAGUCAUUUCUGGUUAUGUAAGUGGGGGGAUGUACUCACGUAAUGGGGGUAAGACUUUGCAUUGACCUGUGCUGUAUGUUCUCUUCAAGUUUGUUUGGGUGGCUCGCCCUCUUUUUCAAUGAUUAUGACUAUGCUUAUCUUUUCAGGUAAAAGUUGGAUUAAAUCCAUGAUCCUUACAGCGUCUCUGUUUCCAUUCUUGUGCUUUGGAAUUGGAUUUAUCUUAAAUACUGUUGCUAUAUUCUAUGGAUCUCUAGCAGCAAUCCCCUUUGGUACAAUGGUGGUUGUCUUUGUUAUUUGGGCUUUCAUCUCUUUCCCUCUAGCUCUUCUUGGCACAGUUGUUGGAAGAAACUGGAGUGGUGCUCCAAAUAAUCCUUGUCGCGUCAAGACCAUUCCUCGUCCCAUUCCUGAAAAGAAGUGGUAUCUCACACCCUCUGUAGUUUCUCUGAUGGGUGGACUACUUCCCUUUGGCAGCAUAUUCAUCGAGAUGUAUUUUGUAUUUACUUCCUUCUGGAAUUACAAGGUGAAUUACAAUGCAAUAAAGUUAGUUUGUUUCUUCAAUUCUGAUUGGUCUUGUGAAGAUUUACUUGCACUUUAUCAGAGCAGAGCCAAUAGUUAUUUAUCAUGGAGAUUUUUCUAUACGAUGAUUUUUCAAGUAGCAACUAUUUUUCAUGUCAAAGCUGAGUAAACACACACCAUCUUACAUGUUUUUCCUUUAUUUUUCUUUCCACUUCCACUUUGUGGCCAACAGGUGUACUACGUCUAUGGCUUCAUGCUACUGGUUUUUCUGAUUCUCAUAGUUGUUACCGUAUGUGUGACAAUUGUGGGGACAUACUUUUUAUUAAAUGCUGAGAACUACAACUGGCAAUGGACUUCUUUUCUUUCAGCAGCCUCAACAGGUGUUUAUGUAUAUUUUUACUCAAUAUACUACUACUAUGUGAAGACAAAGAUGUCAGGCUUCUUCCAAACUAGCUUCUAUUUUGGAUAUACUAUGAUGUUUUGUCUUGGACUGGGAAUUCUCUGUGGUAAGUUUUCAGUUUAAUUUUAUUCUUCUUUAGAAUCAUGUAUUCACUCUGCAGAAAGGACAUAGGGUUCCUUAAUGAUGUGUUGAAUACCUUAUAACAAUAAUUGUUGACGUGUUCUUAUAUCACCUUCCUUAAAAUGAAGUUUUUGUUCAAAUGUGCAGGAGCUGUGGGUCAUCUUGGUUCGAAUUUGUUUGUGAGGAGGAUCUACCGGAAUAUCAAGUGUGACUAAGGCUUCUCUGUGUCGAGACCAGAGCAAUUCCAUAUGUUUAUUGCUGGAGAAAUUACUUCUUGGAGGAAGCUUCUGGUCAUGUGUGGCGGCGACCAAGCAAUGUUUAUAGGUAGUAUGAUGGGUUUCUGAGGAUGGGAAUGUAUUCUUUCUCUAUAUCAGGGAAGCCCUGAGAUUUUUUCCCCUGGCUGUAAUUGAAAGCCUUGAUUUAGCAUGCAGGGAUUGGCCUUUAUUAUAAUUCAUAAUUCAGAUAGUAAGUAGCUAGCAAAAUAUAAGACUCUUGUGGUUUCUUUUUAUGACAAAAAUAGGUGCUCAAUCGACGAACUGAUGUCUGAUUCCCCGCGGUUUAUCUAUUGUACUUUGAGGGGAUGAAGUCUGAAUUUUGUAUCAAAUCUGUUCUAACUACUUCCUCCACACAUUCCUUCAUGUUUAAAUUUUAAAUCAUCGACAAUUUUUCAUUUUUGUCUUGUAUUGUUUUUGAGGAUGUGAGUACUUUCAGUGUCUCUUGUCUGCUUGUAAGGAAUGCAAUUAGAAUAGAUAAACAAUCUGUGUUGCUGCCUGCUCGGAUUCUUAUCUUUGCUGUUUAGAUCAUUUUUGGUUAUGGGGUAUAAAAAUGCACACUGCAAGGAUAAACAUUGAAUGGACUAAAGGAAUAGCAUUUUGCCCCCUUCAGCAAAUAUUAUCUUGUGUUAGAAUUUGAGAUUUUUUUUUUUAAAAUAACAGAAGAAAAAAAACUAAAAUAAUUUUCAAUCUUUCUUAAGAGGAUGCGUAACUGCUGUGGCACAUCCACUCCUUUUUAGUCAUAGGUGCCAAAUACAUGUGGUGCAUAAUUUUCUGUAGCCAAUCAUAUCCAUGCAUCACCUCUUACGUUGUUUUGAUUAAUUUUUUUAUUUGAAAAAUGGUUAAUUAAUUUUAAUAUUUUUUUAAAAAAUAGUUAUUUGAAGAUUAUUAUUUUUUAAUUAAAAAUGGUUAUUAAAAAAAAAUCAGAUUUGAUAACAAUUAAUAAGUUUAUUAAACAAAAUUUAACAUUUCACAACUCUCUUUUUGCAUUUUAAACCGGUGAUGUAGAAAUCAAGUGGUGGGUAACAUAAAUUUAAUAUGAUAAUCUGAUCAUAUGAGAUUUAAAUUUAGUAUUUAACGAAAAAACAAAAGAUAAAAAACUAAUUAUGAAAUUCAUCAUAUUCUAACUGACUAGUUAAAUUUUUAUUUUGAAUAUCAAUUGGAUUAGAAACAAUGUAUUCUUAUAAAAUAUAAAAAAAGUUAAAUUCUAUUAAAAUAUAAAUGACAAAAAUUGGAAUUAAUUUUUAAAAAUAAAAAAGUAAUUUACUAGUAUUAGAAUAUUUUUUAAAAAUUAUUAAAAUUUACAAAAAUAUAAACAUAUUUAAAGUUCUUUAACAUAUUAAAUAUAUUUUGCUUGUAAGGGUGGUUUUGCUAUCUAUUUGUAAUAUACAUUAUAUAUUUAUUAGCUUAUCUAAAUUAUAUAUUAGAGUUAUUCAUAAUUGAUUCAACUUUUUAAUUUUACUAGUGUUAGUAAAUUUUUAAAAUAGAUUAUAUAAAUUUUUAUACUUAUUUAAUUUUAGUAUUUUAGUUUGAUUUAAAACUAUUAAAAAAUUAAAAUUAAUUUACAAACAUAAUUUUUUUUAAAAGGUAAUCUUAUUAUUUGAAUAUAAUAUACAUUUUAUAAUUUGAGAUGGGUAUAAAAAUAUGAUAUAAUAAAAUGUUAUUUAUAACUGUCAUAUCAUAUUCAUAUUCAUCUCCUUACCAUCUUCUCCAUCCAAUAAUUAUGUGCACUAAACAUAUUUUGAAGUAUUCAAGUUCAAUGUUGGACUUGUAAACUGAUCGGUGAUGAUUUGAACAUUUUAGAUUAUGUGUGGAACAAUUUGACUAACAAGGCUUGCAAUUUUAUUCAUAAUGGUUUGUGAUAUGCUUUGCUUAACCAUUGUCUAAUUCGUUCUUAUCAAUAAGAAUCAAGGAAUCUAUUAUUCCCCCCACACUUGAUAAAGACCUAGCCGGUUUGUAACCAUUUUAUCUCCGAAGAACUCUCUUUCAAAGAUGCUUAUACUUGAAGACAAUUUGGUUUAAUGUGAUUCCCAUACCAAAACCCCGUUAAUUUGAAAAAAGUUAUAAUGUAUUGACUAAUGAUGACUAUCUCAAAAAGAGAGGUUUCAUUAUGGUGUCAUGUUGGAAGUACUCCAGCAACAGUACUUUUGAAGACAUCCACCAUCUCUUCUUUAAGAGGUCUUUUGCAUUAUAAAAUUGGAAUUGAUUCUUAAUCAUAAUUGAGAGGCCCUUAAAUUUCACAUUGAUGCACAAUCUCCUUUCUAUAAUGAAUGAAAAAAAGAGCAUAGUGUUAUAUUUGCAAAAGACAUGGCGAGGGCGACGACCAUAUGCCGCCCUCAGGAAAGGUGACGACCAUAUGUCGCCCUCACGGAGGUAAACCAUGCCCCCAAGGCUUUCCUCUUGUCCAACCUUAGGAAACAUGGGUUAAGACAUUUCUUGGACUGAGAGAAGUCAGGGUCAACAGUUGACCCACAACCCUAUUGAAAAUAGGGAUUCAACGGUCUCAAUUGACUGAGUGGGCGGUCUUUUCCAAAGAAACCCUAAGCGUAAAGCCUAUAUAAAUACCUCUCCCCCAACUAAGGAAGGAAAAAUUCUAACUCAUGUGCUUAUACCUAAGCAUGAGACAUACACUUAUACCUAAGCACCAAACACAUACGCAGAGCCUCUCAACUCAUAUGAGUAGGUCCUCUAAACCACAAUAAACACCCCAUAUAACGUAAUAUACAUGCUAAGGCUUCUGAGUACCCCUGCUUUUGCAUUGAUAACAUGCACACCUAUAGUUUUUGACCAAUAUAGUGACGCCCACCGUGUGACUCGAUAAAACUAAUUUGGGCUACACUUCUUUCAUUCUCACUCCUACCGUCUUUCCUAUAAAGAUGACUAACAAAACUCUACACUCAAAUACAAACACCAUAACCGGAGGUUAUGCUGGUGGAGGUAGCUCUAGCUCCUACAGAAGGGAAUACACAAGGCAGGUGUCUGCGACAAAUGUAAUAUCUCAUGGUUUCCCCAAGGGCGCGUAUGGGGAAAUAAGGAUUAACAUAACCUUUUUCGAUGAGGACAUCAUCGAAGUAAAUCCUCAUGAUAAUGAUCCCAUGAUAAUCACUGUGCAACAUGACAAUUUGGAUAUAAUGCGAGUCUUGAUAGAUUCUGGUAGCUCUGCUGACGUCAUGUUCUAGGACGCUUUCCAAAAAGUACAACUCAAUCCUAACGACGCAAAAAUGUUCAGUGGCUCGUUAAUAAGAUUGUUAGAUGAACUCGUGCAUGUAAGGGGCCAUGUGACCUUGGAGAGCACAUGUGGCGAGGGCGUAAACACCAAGUUUAUCGACAUCAUCUGCCUUAUUGUGGACACCCUGUUACCAUAUAUCAUCAUCCUGGGGCAACCCGCCAUCAAUGCACUAUGACCGGUCAUUUACACCCUGUACUUAGUCCUGAAGCAUCCACUGCUUGGAAAGCGAGUCAUCACGAUCCGAGGAGGCCAACAGGUCGCUCAAGAAUGUUAAUAGAGUAUCCUGGCGACAGAGAAGGAAUAUCUCACCCUUGUUGCUGUCUCCCUUCCUGAAGUUCCAAAAGCUGACCUUAAUUGUUGAGAUCCCAAAUUAGGCGCAAAGGUGGAAAGAAUCAUGUGCGCGAAGGACUUAAAAGAGGUCCAGAUAAUCCCUUUGGUCCAUCAGGUGAUAAAGAUAGGUACUUUACUUGUCGAGGAAGAAGAAUGCAAGCUAGUCGACCAACUCAGUAGAAACGUCGACUUGUUCGCUCGGCCCCCCUCUGAUAUGUCUGGGAUAAACACUAAAGUGGCGAGUCAUCACCUCGCCAUCCAUCCCUUUUCCAAACUAAUGGCACAAUGGAUAAUUCAAAAUAAGGAUGUUAAGUACACUCUCCUCUCGGUAAAGCUUUAUAAAAUGAGGAGAGCUUCCCCAAUGCCAUGGUACAUAGGCGAGCAUGAAACCGCCUUGGUACUGGAAGAAGUACACAAAGGAGCCUACAACUGUCACAUCAACGAAAAAUCCCUCGACCAUAAGCUGUUAAGGGCGAGAUAUUGUUGACCUACUUUGAUGAAGGAUAACACCACAUUUGUCAAGAAGUGCGACCAAUGUUAGAAGCAUGUUGACCUUCACCAUGCCUCAACUGAACUUUUUCAGUCGAUGAAUUCACCCUUCCCUUUUUACCAGUGGGGUAUGGUCAUCCGGAGUUUGUUCCUCUUAGCACCAGGCCAACUGAAAUUCUUGAUAGUGGGAGUUGAUUAUUCCACCAACUGGAUAAAAGUAGAAGUUGUUACUAAAAUCACAGUUUAGAGAGUUCACCGUUUCUAUUGGAAGAAAAUUAUAUGCAAGUUUGAACUUCCCGACGCUAUCCUCUUCUACAAUGGAACCGAGUUUUCUAGUGCUAUGGUCACUGACUUUUGCAAAUAUUUGGGAGUGUAGACGAAGUUUGUAUCCGUUGUACAUCUGCAGGCUAAUGGGUAGGCGGAACCUACGAACAACGUAAUUCUAAAUGGACUAAAAGAGAAGCUCGAUGAUGACAAAGGCCUAUUGGCAGAGCUUCUCCAUGAAAUAUUGUGGUCCUACCACACCACCCUUCAUUCUAAUACUAAAAAAAACCCAUUCUCCAUGGUAUACAGAGCAAACGCCAUGCUGCUUGUAGAAAUUGACAUGCCUCAAUGGUGAUAUUCUCAAUUUAAUCAAGAGAUAAACAAGGCGGGACUUGAAUAUGAAACGAAUAUGGUGGACAAAUCGAGAGAAACCUCCCAUGUUCGAGAAUUCACUGCCAGACACAUGGCCUCCAGAAGAUACAUCUCCAGAGUCAGGCAGAUGGAGAUGCGAGAAGGCGGUUUGUUCUUGAAGUAGGUGGUUUUGCCCGCUCAAUAGAAAAAACUGCAAUCCAACUUGGAGGGACCAUCCUACAUAUUCUAAAAGUUGCCCCACAAGGCAUACAAAUUAGAGGAAUUAAAAGGAUAACUCCUUUCCAGAACUUGGAACUUCCUCCACCUUAAAUAUAAUUACAGUUAUAUUAUUUGUAAUUUCCUAAUAGACAUUGUAAUUAUGUAUAUAUGAAAAAUUUCUUGAAAGUUUAUGACAACAGGAACAUUUUUCUAAAUAUUUUAUAUGUUGGACUUCACGACCAAGAUCCUUGCGGCCCUUUAGGCAAUAUUUUUUAUGCUGAACUUCAUAGUGAAGAUCCUUGUCGUCCCUUGUGGCAAUAUUUUUUAUGUUGGACUUCAUGGUGAAGAUCAUUACCGCUCCCCUUGAGGAAAUAUUUUAUAUGUUGGACUUCAUGGCAAAGAUCCUUAUCGUCCAUUGAGGCAAAUUUUAUACGUUGGACUUCAUGGAGAAGAUCCUUGUUGCCCCUUAAGGAAAUUAUUUUUUAUGUCGGACUUCAUGGCGAAGAUAUUUGUCGCCCCUCAGGGCAAUACAAAUAAGAUAUUCAACGCCUCUUCUGAAGAACUUAUAGUAUCAUCAGUCAGGCUACAUAUAACUUCGUCUAAGGGUCUUAGAUUUUUCAGGCUAUUUAAACUCUCACCUGGGGGACUUAGAGUUUCCUCGGGCGGGACCAAACAUAGAAAUAUUACCCAAAAGGUACGACCAAAGCCUAGCCUAAAAGACUUAGUCACAAGUCUUAUUUGAGGGUUUGAUAAAAGUCCCACCCGAGAGGUCCAAUGUCUCGCCUGAAGAACUUAUAGUCUCACCAAUCAGGCUACAUAUAACUUUGUCUGAGGAACUUAUAUUUUCCAAGCUUUUUAAACUCUCACCUAAGGGAUUUAGAGUUUUCUCGAGCGGAACCAAACAUAGAAAUAUCGCAAAGAGGUGUGGCCAAAGUCAAUCCUUAAAGGCUUAGUAAUAAAUCUUGUAUGAGGGCUUGAUAGAAGUUCCGCCUGAGAUAUUCAACGACUUGCUUGAAGGACUUAUAGUCUCACCAGCCAGGAUACAUAUAACUUUGCAUGAGGGAAUUAGAUUUCCACGCUACUUAAACUCUUGCUUGAGGUACUUAGAGUUUCUUCGGCCGAGACCAAACAUAAAAAUCUUGCCCAAGAGGCAUGCUUGAAGUCUAGCCUAAAAGACUUAAUCACAAGUCUUGUCUAAGGGCUUGAUAGAAGUAUCAUGAGAAAGAUCUAACGCCUUGCCUGAAGGACCUAUAGUCUCACUAUCCAUCCAGACUACAAAUAACUUCGCCUGAGGGACUUAGAUUUCUUAGGCUAUUUAAACUCUCGUCUGAGGGACUUAGAGUUUUCUUGGACGUGACCAAACAAUAUGAUUUCUCUUAAAACCCGACGCCUAACACGUUACACAUAUCAUUAAGAAACUCAUACUCGAGAUACUUCUUCGAGAUACUGCCACGUACCGCAAUCUAAAAAUACUUCGUCCUCUAUCAAGGACCUCAUGCUCGAGGGACUGUAUAGUGUUAUAUAUGUAAAAAUCUAAGCGAGGGCGACGACUAUGCGCCUCCCUUCCGAAAGGAGACGACCAUAUGUAGGCGUCAGGGAGGUACCGUUUUCCCCCAAGGCUUUCCUCUCCCAUAGCCAUGGGAAACGUGGGAUAAGUCGUUUUUUGGGCAAAGAGAAGUGAGGGCCAACAACUGACCCACGCUCCCUUGCAAAUAAGGAUUCAACGGUCUAUCAUUGACUAAGUGGAUGAUAACCUUUUCCAAGGAAACCCUAGGUCCAAAACCUUUAUAAAUACCUCUCCCCAAACGGGAGGACAAAUCAUAAUUCAUACGCUUACACCUAAGCACCAAACACAUACCUUUUAUACAUAAGCACCAAACACAUAUGCAGAGCUUGUCACCUCACGUGAGCAAGUCUUCUAAACCACCAUAAACACCACCAUAUAGGGCUUCUCACCGCCAUACAACAUAAUAUACCUACUAAAGCCUUUGAGUACCCCUGCCCUUGUAGGGGUAACAUGCACUCAUGUACUUUUUGACCAGUACAAGUAAUAUAAGCAAUUAUUAAAAUUAUUUGGUACAUUAUUUUUACAUGAACAAAAUGAGGUUUGAAACCUAAAAUCACACAAGUUGUGGUAUGUGUUUUGUAAGUAUAACCAUCAACUGAUUUUGAUGAUGACAAUUGAUGACAUUUGUCAAGCAACUUUUAAAAAUGAUAACUCCAUAAGUCAAACGACUUUUGGAUGUUGAUAACUCUUUUCAAGAGCUCUUUGUGACAUAUGUCAAAGAGGGAGUUCAACGUAGCUGUUCUAUAACUCUUGAUGAUGUAAUCUGAUUAAGAUAAAGAUACCUUAAGCCCCCAUAAGUCAGAUAAUUCAAAAUAUCUAGUUAAAGUGUCAAUCAAUCAUUGAAUCAAGCAGAUCAUCUUGAAGUUUGAAAGCUCACAUAGUCAUGUGCUAAAUAUUUUAGAGUGACCAUCUUAAAUUGUAAAAGGUAAAGAGUAUGUCUUGAAGUACUAAGACAACCACACGCACUUAAAAUAUUUUCAAACCUUCUCUUCCUUUAUUAAAACUUAUUAAAAACCUAUCCAGACAUUUAUUUAUGUAAUUGAUUAAAAAGUAUUUCUAAUCAAUAUUUUAAUUAAGUUAAUUUAAUAAAAAUGUAAUAUCUUAUAUCAAUAUUAUUGUAUUUUUUUAUCUAUAAAAAAACCUUAAACACAGAAUGAGUAUUGUAUAUGAAGACUUGAGUAAUUAGUUACCACAGUGCACAAUACUUCAUUUUUAAAUACUAUAAGGUGAAGAUGGUGCCAACAAGGAUUCACCAACAAUAUGUGGUGAUAAAAGAGAUAGAUAACCUGAGGCAUAAAACAAUGCCACCUGGCAGAUAGGGUUGCAUGCAGUUCAUAUAGCAGCUUGUUCCAACCACACUAUUUCCACAAGCUCCUUAUUUCAUUCAUUCAUUCAUUCUCUAUCUUUUUAUCAUCAACACAAACACAAAACAGUGUUUGUUCCUUUGAAACCAUAAUAGUAAUGGCAACCACACCAGCUUUGUAUGGAACUGCUGUCAGCACUUCCUUCCUCAGGACUCAGCCAAUGCCAAUGUCAGUCACCACCACAAAAGCAUUUUCCAAUGGCUUUCUCGGUUUGAAAACCAGUCUCAAACGUGGAGAUCUUGCAGUUGCUAUGGCUUCUUACAAAGUGAAACUAGUUACACCAGAUGGAACUCAAGAGUUUGAAUGUCCAAGUGAUGUUUACAUUCUUGACCAUGCUGAAGAAGUUGGAAUUGAUCUUCCUUACUCAUGCAGAGCUGGCUCUUGUUCUUCAUGUGCUGGUAAAGUUGUUGGCGGUGAAGUUGAUCAAUCUGAUGGUUCUUUCCUUGAUGAUGAACAGAUUGAAGCUGGUUUUGUUCUUACUUGUGUUGCUUAUCCUACCUCUGAUGUUGUUAUUGAGACUCACAAGGAAGAAGAUCUCACUGCUUAAUUUUUCAUUUCUGUUACUGCUAUGCUAUGAUAUGAUAUCAUGUUAUGUUUGUUUCUACAAUGAGUAGUAACUCUAUUAAUUCCUUCACCUGUUUGUAGUAACAUGUGAAGUUAAUAAUGUUAUGUUAUGUUGUUUUUUUGCUCACAAUUCUUAAAUUUCCUAUCUUUUCUUCGGUUGACUAUUAUAUAAAAUUUGAUAUUAUUCAUCAAGUGUUUUUGUGUAUUAAGCAUGGAUUUUCAUGUCUAACAAGUAGUUGAUGUAUGAUUAUGGUCAGGACAGGACCCUCUUUGAGGGCGUGCAAGACAGACUCCGAUUUGACAUGUAGGGCUUCGAAAACUUAAGACGAUACUGAUUAUGAUGCUAAAUUUAUUGAUUCUAGUAAUGUGAUAUAUAAUAUACAUCUAUGUUUGAUAGAGUUCAAGAAUGAUUUGCACAUCUAUACUAAACUAUAUAGGAUUCUAGUCUGUUAUGCAGUAGAAAUUUAAAUACAUAUGACACUUAAAAUUGAUCAUGUUUUGUGAAACAAAUCUUGAAGAGUUUCGACUUUAGUCUCGUCUCUGUCGCCAACAUCAUUGUAAUGUGAAUUAAUAUGUCUGGAUUUGGAAAAAUCAGUUGAGUCAUGGAGGUUGUUAGAAGUCACAAAAUUCAACUGGUCUACUGAAGUUACUGUCAUCUGAUUCAAAGACUCUAAGUCUAAUGAAGUUGUUCGAGUCAGCGUCCCGGAUACGAUAGUUAUCUCAUCCCUCUCAUCGAUUGUUGAUUCUAGGGAACAUAUUGAUCUAGCCGUGUGCGAGCGAAGAGAAUGAUCGUGCUUAGACUUCUGUUUUACUCUCUUACACCAACUGUGUAAGGAUUCUCUAACACUUUCGGUCACUAGCGCCUUCUUACAUCGAGAUCCCAUCUAUAGUAACAAAAAAUUUCUGUCACAUUUUUUUUGGAACAAUGUUACAAAUAUGAUAGAAGAAAAUAUUGUUAGUAUCGAAUUACGACAGAACUUUAUGCAGAGAAAGUUUAAAGCCAACCUGUGAAACUAUUAUAUUGAGGGGUACUGUCAUAUAGCUACACCAGAAUUGAACAAGAAUUCUGCAAUUCAUGAUAGUUUAGAAUUGAGAAAAUGUAAGAGUAUACGAACAUUGAAGUAUCGUAGAAUCUGGAAAAUUAGUCGAUAAGGUAUAGAAUGUAUAAUUCUUGUGAGAGAGAUGAAACCGACCCUGAUGUCAACCGAAUGAUGAUCAUGUAAUGAUGUCUCAUGAAGCAUGACUGUUCUUUAAAUCCCCACUACACAUAAGACAUGCAAAAAAUUGAUCGAAGAAUGUGUUGAGAAGAUUUAGUUCGAGUAAUGGAAUAGAUAUAAGCAUAGAUAAAUUCUCGAAAACUUUAAACCUUACCAAUGUCCAAAUAAAUGAAGCCAUUUCAAAGGCAUUCUGCAUGAACAAUAGAGAAAACAAGAACAAAGAAUCAAAAUAAAACAACUAUGAAGAACGGCGCGAUUACAAAUACAUUACAUAUUUUACCUGAAAUAUCACAAAUUGUAUCAGCCAUAACAAAAUAUCUGGUUUGUUGAACCAAAAAAGACCGUCGCGCGGCUUUACUUGUGUACUGGCAGAUGGACCCUGAUGCUGCCUGAUUUCAAGUGCUAAAGUGGAUACAACAUGUUGAAGUUUUGUACCUAUUACCAUCACAAGCUUAACGCGUAGCGAAAUCGCAUGUUAAACCGAAAUAAUUUUCAAUGGACUAAUUCAUUUUGAUUUGUUGAAAAAAUCGAAAACAGAUUAUUAUUAUUAUACAUACAAUUGCAGGUAUAAAGGAGAACCAGAAGUAUAUAUUCAGACCUGCAAAUUUAGAAACUCAAUCAUCUGAAAAAAUCAACGAAGACACUUCAUUCAAUCGACACAUGUUCUAUCGAGAAGAAUGAAAGUUACCAUGGAUGUUUACAAAGAUGCAGACUAUAGUAUAAAUCCAAAGCGGCCAGCUGCAAAAUUUGAAACAGGUAAUUUUCAGAUCUUAGAUAGAGUUCAUCAUUGUUGACAACUUACAUUGGUUUUCAAAAGGUUUCAUACCUUAUUCCUAGAAUGCCAUGAAAUUCAUCUUCCAUGCUUCGAACCAUAUAUUUAUGAAAAUCAUAUGAUAGUGGCAAUUUAUGUUCCUGCAAAGUGGUAUAGAAUAUCAUAUCGGCGACGAAGAAUAAAUCAAAAGAAGAGUGACUAAACUAAUAAAAAACUUACAGUAAUGAAACCGAGACGAAGUGCAAGGUAAUCUGAUUUUUGUAUAGAACUUCUAAACUGGCGCAGAAAACAUAACUGCGAUAUCAGAUCACACAUUGUCAUCAUUCUAAACAUGCAUUUGGCUGAGUCUAAGAAAUUUAAGAAGUAAAAGGAUUAAUUUCGAUGAUACAUCACCAUCCAUAUUAGUAUUGGAUUCCUGCUCCACGGAUGAGACGUGUGAUGGAAAACAAACGUUGUUUGCCGCCUCAUCACCUUGUUUUUCUUUCCUGUAGAACAAAACUAUGCAAGAAAUUAUUACUAUAUUCGAAAGAAGCAACGAAGACACGACGCCAUUCUAUUUAUUUGUUGUUUACCUUGCAAAUUUCCGUCGAUAAUAGCCAUAGUAGCCUGAUUUUCCCAUCUGCACCAACUAUAGAUCUACAAAUCCAUGCAACAAAGAAAAACUAAACUAGUUAUCUAGUUAUUAGUAUUUAUAAGAGCAUCGACACAUUUUGGUUGUAACAAUUGCGAUGACCGACCUUGCUCAUCGCUAAACCAACAGCCAGAACACUAUACAGAACAUGAGUGAUCCCGAGAACAAAUAAAAACCGGUGAAGCUGCUCGAGACCCUCGUAUGAAACAAAUGGUUCAUGACCCUGCAUUCAUCAAUUAGUAUCUUAAGAAUGAUAGUUUGUAGUAGAAACAGCAUUUCAUCUCGGUUUGUUCAACCUGCAUUUUACAAUUGAAGCAUGUUAUGUUACCUCUCCACAUUGAUGAAGUGCAACCCUAUUUAGCCCCUUUGGAAUACUAGUUUCAUCAGAGAAAGAGGAAGAGUUUUGAAUCAUGACAUUCUCAAUCACGCCAACGUCAUGUUCAGCACAAGUAUAGAAUCGACUGCUGAAAAGCGAUGAAUUUACACAAAUUUCAGAGAUCCAUCUCGCACUUUGUGCCAACAACAACGAGAUUAGCCCAAGCAGCAUCAGCUCUAUCAAGAAGAAUCAGUACAAGUUAGUUAAAAAUUCUGAUAGAAAACUUAAUAUUCUGCAUUUUUGAGUUAUGAAGAACAUCAUGCUUGAUUACCUUCUUUAAUUUUCUCGAGCGAAGCAAAAAGUGCCUUCCUUCUUGUCUUCUUCAACCACUGCACAGCCAAGAAAAAACAAGUUUCAACAGAUUUAAGAAACUAGUUGCUUUUACCGGUCGAAGUAACAUUUCACAUUUCACAGUUCAAGCUUAUUAGAACUUCUAAAACUAACUAUCCAACAUAAGGGCUAAGAAAUUAUAUAUGCUAGCACCUAAUAAUUAAUAUGAAACACUAACUAAGAUCUGAGAAGAAUGCAAUAAAUUCGCCAGCAAGUAGAUAAAGAGCAUAGGAACAUGCCAUUACUUUUAGUAGUUCAUGCAGUUAUCAUACAUUAUUGCUUCUUAAGCUGUUUCUGUCACUUUUACAUUACAUUCCUAAGACAGUACUAAAUAAAAAUCCGUUUCAACAUUAUCUAUUCUAUCGCGGCAAAUAGCAAGCAAAACAACAUGAAAACAGUCGAGAAACGAAUGAGUUUGAAUAAGUUAUUCACCUUUCCGAAGCGGUAAAUAGAACGCUCGACCAAGAAGCAAACAAAAACCAUGACAGUAACAACAGAAGCAACUGAAUAAGUAGGUGUCUCAGCAAGAGAACGACCUUGCUGCAUAACAUGCUCCAUUUUUUCUUCUUACAUCAGCACAGCAUAACAUAACAUAACCCUUUAGUUCUAAUACAAAAAAUCGAAAGCUUUCGUCGAAAACAUAAAAGAAUGACUCUUGUGAUAGAUGGGAUCAAGAGGAAGUAUCUAAGGUGAUGAGAGUGUUUUGUUUUAUUUGAUUAUUAUUAUUGUAAGUUGAAAGAUGCAUGUGGAGAGAGUAUAUUAUAAUAUAGCAGAUGCAGAAUAGAUCCUACUCACUUUUUGAUUUCAUCAUAUUAAUAAAUGAAACUCUUUCUUUAUUGUUAUAUUGUAUAUGACACACACAUUCUACACAAACCAUGCACAUGGAGAGUUUCUCAUUGUCCAAGGUUCUUGUUACUAACAACUUUUAGAUGGUAAGUUGCAAUGGGACCAAAGGUCCCUAUAAAGAAAACAGGUAUCACAUUAUGAUUAAUUAAUUUGUGUGUAUAUCUAGUAAAGUGUGGAAAAGUAUUCAGUUCUCUGACAGAGACAACAAAAGGAAAUGGAAAAUAUUUAUUCAUUCUCACCAGUAAAGAACAUGAUUUCUAUUGCUUUCUUUUGUAACUUAUGAUGAUAUUUUCAAAACAAAAAAAUCACAACCAAAAUAACUAUAUUUGUGUGAAAUUGUUCACUAUUAAUUUUAGUUAUAAUUAGACUUUUUUUUAAUGAUUAAUGUUGGUUAUUAAUGUUAUGGAUGUUGAUACAUGUGACCUUUUUAUAGGAAUGAAGAUAUCAACCAUAGUGUGCGUCCUUUAUAACUAUUUAAUAUCUUUAGUUGAGGUUUAGUCCUUUAUAACUAUUUUCCUAAAACAAUGUUAAAUAUUUUAACGUUUCUAACUUGUCAAUAGCACAUGGCACCCAUGUCAAAUCAUAUGUUAUAAACCACCAUUCUUCUUGAAAUUAGGCUUCCAUCUUCUUAUUCAACCUUGCUUUCUCUUUCAUUGUUUCAUUUUAGUUUCUCUUUCUUUGCUAAAAUUAGGGCAUCAUCAUUCCAAAAACGAAGAACAAGUAUGUGUUUUAAAAAUUCGUCUCCCUAUCAUAAAGUGUCUGGUAAUGGGGGAGAUGAUACUAACAGUUCUGAAUCGAGGGUUUACUCCUCUUCUUCAAAGAAGCAAUAAAUAUUUAAUUGUUGGUGUAGUAACUUCGUUGUGCUUAGAAGGACUAUAACAACUAAUAAUUUUGGGAAGCCAUUCUGAGAAUGUCCAUACGAUAGGGUAGGAUAUCUAUAUUUAUUCACUAAUUUCAUUUUGAGAUAGUGGGCUACGUUUUCCUUGUUUUCCUUAAUUUACACCGGGGAUACUAAAACUAGAUGCGACUAUUUUGAUUGGUAUUAUGAUGAAGUGAAAGAUGAGGAUAACAUAUUUAUAUCAUGAAAAAAAAGUUGUUGAAAAUUUUAACAAAAGAAAAUGAAAAUUAAGAGCAUAAAUUGGUUCAAUAUAAAGGAAGAAUUGAAAGACAAAGAGACACAAUUGAUGCACAAAAACAAGAGUUAGAAGAUUUUGAGGCGACUCUAAAGAACACAAUGACGUGGGAUAAAUUUUGGAAAAUUUAUAUUUUGUAGUUAUAAUUGUUUUAAUAUUAUUGUGUAAUUAUGGAAGAAUGUUUGUUUUGUGUUCCGAAUUAAUUUUGUAAUGUUUCCAAUUGAAUGAAAUGAAAAUAACAAAUUUUUGAUUCCUAUUAAUUUUUGUUUCUGGUAUACUUAAUUGAUUUUGAUGCAUCAAUUUUGGUAUACUCAAUUUUUCAUUUUGGUAUACAUAGUUUGAUUUGGAUGCUCAGUAUGUAAUCCUUGAUUUUUUUUACUUGAAUUGGAUGCAUUAGUUCUACUAUACUCAAUUUCGCAUUAUGGUAUAUUCAAUUUACCCUAAUAUCUCCGGUUUUGCAUUCUAGUAUACUUAGUUAGUUUGCAUUAUGGUUUUUUAGUUGAUUUGGAUGUAUUAGAAUUAAUUCUAGUGUUUUUGGUUGAUUUGGAUGCAUCAAUUUUAUUAGAUUUAAUUAUUAGAUUUAAUUCAUAUUUAAGUUUGUUAGAUAUUAGAUUUAAAUAUUAGAUUUGAUUCAUAUUUAAGUUUGUUAGAUAUUAGAUUUAAAUAUUAGAUUUGAUUCAUAUUUAAGUUUGUUAGAGGCUUAUAAAUAGGGUGUCAAUCAUUGUAACUUUUAAUCCUUUUUGUAGCCGUCAUUCUCUUAAUAGAAUAUUCAUCUUUUAUUCUACCUUUGCACCAACAAUUGGUAUCUAGAGCUCCGGUUCAGAUUCAUUGGGAAACACGGGAAACACGAGUGAACGUGAGGUCUUGUGUGUUUGAUUUUGAUUCUUAGAUUCGUGUUGAAUCUUGAACAAAAUCUGAUCAGAAUUUUAAUUCUGUGGGUUGGGAAACACUGUGUGAGAAAUCUGAGUGUACUGUGCAAGGUAGAAAGAUGAACGGAAACGGCAACAUGAACACCAAACUUCCAGUAUUUGACGGUAAAAACUGGAAUCGUUGGAUGAUCCAAAUGCGUGUACUGUUCGGUGCUCAAGAUGUUCUAGAUCUUGUCACUGAUGGUUAUGUUCCGGUAGCAGCAGAUGCGACGGAUGAACAGAAAAACGCGCAGAAGGAAGUAAGGAAGAAGGAUCAGAAAGCAUUGUUCUUCAUUCAUCAAUGUGUUGAUGUAAAUGUGUUUGAGAAGAUUGCAGAUUCAACGACAGCAAAGGCUGCGUGGGACACACUGGUUAGAUGUUAUGGUGGUGACGCAUCAGUGAAGAAGGUGAAGCUUCAGUCCUUGAGAAAGCAAUAUGAGAAUCUCAACAUGAAGAAUAAUGAGAAAGUUUCUGAAUACAUCUCCAGAGUGAUUCUGAUCACUAAUGAGAUGAAAGCGUGUGGAGAAACUCUUUCUGAAGAAACAAUCAUGGAGAAGGUAUUGAGAUCCCUUACCUCUCAAUUUGAUUACAUUGUGGUAGCAAUAGAACAUUCCAAAGAUCUGAGCACCAUGAGAAUUGAAGAGCUGCAGAGCAGUCUAGAAGCGCAAGAGUUGCGUUUGACUGAGAGAACUUCUGAAAGGGAAGUAGAGCAGCAGGCUCUGAAAGCAACUUCUGAUAGGAGGUAUCAGAAGCAGUCAGAAGCCAGGAGAAGAUCUGAUGGUGGUCAGAAGUCAGAAAGCUCAACCUCUGAUAGACAAAAGAAUGCUCAUAAGGGAAAAGAGAAGUAUGACAAGAAGAAGAUCCAAUGUUACUGUUGUAAGAAGUUUGGUCACUUUGCUAGAGACUGUUGGUCAAACAAGGAGAAAAAAUCAGAAGAAGCAAAUAUAGCCAGAAGUUCUGAUGACGAAUCUGUGUUAUUGAUGGCCUCUGAAUCUGAUGAUAUGGAUCUGAUAGACUGGUGGUAUAUGGACACUGGUUGUUCAAAUCAUCUUACUGGAAACAAGAAAUGGUUGGUUGACUUUGACUCUGAAAAGAGGACAAAGAUCAUAUGUGCUGAUGACAAAUAUCUUAAUGCAGAAGGUAUGGGAAAUGUCAGAGUGAUUCUGAACAAUGGAAAAACAGUAUUGAUUCAGAACGUGUGGUAUGUACCUGGCAUCAGAAGCAAUCUGAUGAGUGUGGGACAAUUAAUUGAGAAAGGUUUUUCAGUUACCAUGAAGGACAAUCUUCUGAAGUUGUAUGACUGCAAUCAGCGUUGACUUAUGGAGUUAGAAAGGGAAGGAAUAGAAACAUUCAAGGUGAAUCAGAACGGCAGAUCUCGAAUGUCUUGGAGGCAACAGUGCUGAAAGAGAGAGGAGCUGGGCACAGAAGAUUGGUCACCUUCGAAAUUUUGCAGUAAAGCUUAAAACCGAAUCAAAGAAGGUUGGACACUGGAAUUCCUGUAAUUAAGAAGCCCUGAAAAGUCAUGCAAAGUUUCAUGGAAGGAAAAAACAACCACGAUUGCCAUUUGCGUCAGAAACUGCUCCAGAGCAAAACAUGCCUUGGGAGUUGUACAUUCUGAUGUGUGUGGUCCAUUGUCAGUAGCAUCGAUGAGGGAAUAAAUACUUUGUGUUAUUGUUGUGAAUCAGCAAGAAUGAACAUGGGUAUCCCUUAUUAAGUUAAACCGAGCGAGUGUUGAUGAAUUCAAGAAGUCCAGAUGAAGGCUGAGAAUCAGAGUGUCAAGUUGAAGAUCUUAGAACUGACGGUGAGGUGAGUAAUAACCCAAAGAGUUCCAGAAGUUCUGUGAGGAGAAUGAAUUGAGCAUGAUACUGCUCCUUAUACCUCCUCAACACAAUGGUCUUGCUGAAAGAAGAAACCGCACUUUGCUGAUAUGGUGAAGCAUGCUAAAGGAGAAGAAGGCUUCCUCAGAACUCUGGGGAGAAGCUGUUGCCACUGCAACUAUUACUCACCGAUGUCCUACGAAGAAGUUGAAGGAAUGUCCAAUACAGAAGUGGACGGAGAUAAGCAAAGUGUAGUCAUCUGAAGGGUUUUGGUUCUGUUUUGCUAUAAAAUGUUCACAGAAGCCAGAAGACAGAAGCUGGAUGAUAGAGCCAAAGUGAUGAUCUCUGAUAGGGAGCACAGUACAAGUGCAUACAAGCUCUAUUGUCCAGAAACCAAUAAAAUUGAAUCAGCAAGAGAUGUGAUUGUGAAGGAAUCAGAAGUUGGAAUUGGGAUAAGUCUCAAUCUGACUCUGAUGUUAGAACCUCUGAAGAAAGGUCAGAGUCAGAAUUCUGAGGCUGGAGUAAACUCUGAUACUGAUUCUGAUCUGAUAGUGAUUCUGACUCUGGAGAAGACUCAGAAAGAUUGAAGGUGACUCUGAUGAUCCAGACUCUUGAUGACGCCAGACUCUGAUGGUAAUCCAGAUUCUGGGGCAAUUCAGACUCUGGAAAUAUGCCAGACCCUGAAGAUGGUCAAAGCUCUGGAGGAAGUCACCAUCUGAAGCUAGAAACUCUAAGCUCAAGACUCUGAACAAGUUCAGAGACAAACAAAGAUCAGAAACAUCCCCAGAAGAAUCUGCAGAAUUUGACAUGCUGCAAGACACUGAAGUAGACUCUGAAGAGAAUUAUUCGCGUGGCCAUGUUAGUAAGACUCUGAACCCAUAAAUACAGAAGAGGCUCUUAAGCAGAAGCUCUGGCUGAAGGCCAUGAAAGAAGAACUUGAUGCUAUAGAGAGAAACAAGACUGGAAGUUCUGAACAAGAGAUAGCCAAGUUCAAGAAAGUUCUGAUGAAUGAAUUCGAAAACUGAUCCAUUUCUCAAUUAAGGGAUGGGAAUUGGUGUACAGUUUUGCAUAAUAUGAAUUAAGAUAGUUUAGAUUUAAUUAUUAGAUUAAUUCAUAUUAAGGUUUGGAUAUAAUUUAAAUAUUAUAUUAAUAGUUUAGAAUAAUUUAGAAUAUUAGAUUCAAUUUAAGUUUGGUUAGAUAAUUUAAGAUUUAAUAUUAGAAUUUGAUUUCAAUAUUUAAUGUUGUUAGAGGCUUAUAAAUUCGGGUGUCAAUCAUUGUAACUUUUAAUCCUUUUUGUAGCCAUCAUUCUCUGAAUACGAAUAUUUCCAUUCAUCAUAUAUUCUACCUUUGCACCAACAAAUUUAAGAUAAUUAACAACAUUAAUUAGAAAACAUUAACCUUCAUUCAACAAUAUUCAUUAACAAUACCAAAUUAAUGGAAAUUUGGUGGAACAUAAACCAAAACAUCAAAAUGAUUCAAAAGACAAACAAAACCAUAAAUUAACAUUAAACUUAUCCUAAAACAAAAGAUAGACCAAGUCAUAAACUAGCAUUACAUGUUUAAUAAUUAAUUUAUGCAAGGCAGGCUUAAAUACGAAUAUCAAAUCUAUAAUAAUAAUUUAAAGUGAAAGUAAAACAAACAUAUAAGCAUGCAUACAUAUAACCUUAAAAUGUAGCCAUUGAUAAGAUAAUCUUAAAAUGUAAAUAAUGUAGAGACAAGUGACUAACACUUGUUGGCUUUUGAAUCUUCCUCAACCGAUACUCCUAAUGCCUCAAACAUUCUUCAGAUGGAGAUAAGAUAUAAUAUUGUUUGUGUACGGUAUAUUGGGGACCAUAGCCUAUAUAUAAGGUGUUGGUCAAUUGGAAUUCUCAUUAUUCCGAAAUGGGUCAUCCUGACAUCCACUCAUAUUUGAGCUCAUAUCCAAUUAGUUAAUUAAUUAAUUAAUUAAUUAUUAAAUAGAAAUCUAAAUAGUCUUUUAAAUUUAGUUGACCACUUAAUCAAUUAAGACUCUUAAUUUAAUAAAUAGCUAAUAUAAUUAAAAAUAUAUAUGCCCACAUAAUAAUUAUUGGAAUAUAAUAAUUAAAUAAUAUUUAAAUUAUAAAAUAUUCCAACACUACACGUAUCCUAAACUAAUAGAAAACUUAGUUGCCUUGUUGUUUGUUUGAGAGGACUGAGCAUAGUUAUAGGAUCUUUGAAAUUCCUUGUUGCACUUAACCUUAUUGCAGGACCUGGUGAUCCAACACUUUUUGAUGUCCUUUUAAUGCUCAACUUUUUUAUAGCAAAUCUUGAUCCACUUGCUAGAGUUUGGGUUUUAUUUUUAUGAGGUAUUGAUCCACUUGUCAUAUAUUAAGUUGAAUGUGCUUCACUCGCCUAAGUUGCUUGAGAUUGACUUACUUGAGGUGCCUAAGAUUGACUUGCCAAAGAUUGAUAUGCAUGAGUUUACUGAUCUUGACUUGCAUGAGUUGAUGGUGGAACCUUACAAGUUGACUUUGUUAUGACCAUUUUUCUUGCACCUACUACAGUUAACAUGUAAUCUUGUUCUCCUCAUUUUAUGAUCAUAUCCAUAAAUUUUUCCUUGUUGAAGAUUCCUUUUAUUUUUUCGUCUUCUUGACAUUUUUAUGAAGAUUGACAGUUUUUUGGCAUUUUUGGUUUCCAUUUCAUUUCUCUCACCUCCCUUUCCUAAGCAUGUGGGUAAGUUGAUUUAACAGCUUUUCAUAUAAUCUCUUUCAAUUUUUUUCUUAGAAACUUCUUCCUAAAGUUAUUGUACAGAUGAUGUACAUAAAAUAUUUGCUCGACACCCAAUAAAAGCUCAUCCAUGGUUGACAAUAGACCCUACAAAUAAAAACAACUAAGUUAUUAAUAAAACAUCAUAAACAUACAAUAGACAACAAACAUGAAAAGUUAUAAGAAUCAUUCGAAUACCUUUUGUUAAUAUGAUAAAAAUGUAUAUGUACAAGAUUUAGUUCUACCUCUAAGAUCAUCAAUUAGUAGUUCCAAAAACCAUGUUUAGUUGUUCUUUAUUUCUCAUCCAACAACUGCAAAAUCUAUUGGAGCCAUUUACCCAUUAAGAUCUCUUUCUAUGGCUGCCAAUAUUUCUCCUCCAUGUAGGUCCUUUAAAAAACAUCCAUUGAGUCCAAUCAUAGGUUCGCAUAGCUUAAAACUCUCCUUACAUGCUGCAUAACAUAUGUAUAAUCUCUAGAAAUGAGGCAUUUUGUUAACUGCAUUAUCUUGAACAAAUUAAACUUUCAACUUAACGGUUGAACCUGAAUUUGUUCUUAGAAUUUCAUGACAAUAGUCAUAAAUUCUAUUGUAUUAUUCUAAGAAGGAACCAUCAACAAUUCCUCUGGUUGCACACCUAGCUCUAACUACCUUAGUCUGUUUUAUACCCACAUUUCACUUCCUUUGAGAAUUUUCCUUAAUCCUUGAUCUUCAUCUUAGGAUUAUAUUUCAUUGAAUUUUAAAUCCUCUUACUUAGUCACUUUGUAGUCAUCAUCUUCACAUUGUAAGCCAUGUUACACGUGUGAAUAUCCACCAAUAUCUUCAAUUGCCAAUAAUCUUCAUUUGGUAAUUUGGCACAAUAGGAAUUCCACUCACAUCCUUCUUUACAAAUAACCCUAACUCUUUUUUUGUCAUUUUGAAAGAACCUGAGAUUUUUUCCUGACUAGAUUGCAUAAGUAGUGAUUGCUUCCUUAAAAUCACACUUGGUAGCAAAAAAUGUUCCAAAUUCCCAUGUAUAAUCAGACAUGUUUUUUUGAAAUUUUAAAAUAUGAUAUUUCUUUCUAUUGCGUUCACUUUCUUCAUUGGUUUUACACCCACUUUUCAAUCCCUCACUAUCAUCUUUACUCUCAUUAAAAUCCUUUUUUUAAAUAUUUUUUUGCUAGUACCCUCAAUAUCAUUAGCAUAACCUAAUAUAUUUUUCAUAUCCUCUUCCAUAAACUCAUCAUUACCUUCACUCGAGUCUUCAAAUGCAAUAUCCAAGGCACUAUCAUAAUUAAAACUCAUAUCAUCAUUGUCAUCAAUAGUUUGACUACCAAUAAUUCCACCAUUAUUCACCUUAGCAUCAUUCACCUCACCAUUAUUCAUCUCACCCUUAUUCAUAUCACCCUCAUUCAACUUAGACUCAUUGACCCCAACAUCAUUCACCUCAACUCCAUUCACCUCAACUACACCCUCAUUUAACUCAGAUUCAUUCAUCGCAGCAUUAUCGACCCCAACUUUAUUCACCUCAAUUACACCUCAUUCAACUCAGCCUAAUUUUUUCCAACUUCAUUGACCAUAAUUUCAUUCAUCUCAACUUCAUUGGACCUAACUUCAUUCACCUCAACUACACCCUAAUUCAACUCUGUUACAUCACCUGUUGCUCCUUUGGCAACUUCCUCAUACAAUUUUCCAAUAUCAUCUUCUUCAUCAAGGUUUACGACAUCAUCUGGGUUAAUAGCUUCAUCCUCUACAGGACCAUCAUACUAUUUAGGUCGAGAUAAUGGAUGUUGUACAUAAAUAUGAACGCUGAAGUAUACCUUAUAUAAAUCAGGAAUAUCUUAGGCAUCUUUGUCAUCAGUCAAUGUAAACAUACCAAAUGUAGAAUCCUUGCACAAAAUAGCCCAACCUUCCUUAUAUCACAGUUCUUUAACUACCCAUAUCACCUCAAAAUAGAUCCACUAAUAAAUAUCACAUCUCAUCUCUAAAACAAUUCCUUCAUAACAAGAUAACUUAACGUCUACAAAGGAACCUUCAUGGUGAAUAAAUACAUGUAUAAAUUCAUAUUUUUACCUAAAAACAAAAUGGUACAACUUAUUACACAUGUUGCAAUCGUAUUACACAAACAUGUCAAGAAAUCCCUAAAACCAAGAGAAAACCCUAUAACCAAGAUAAAGCCAUAAAACCCCCCACAUUAAGAUUCAGAACCUAAGAAAAGGGGCAAGAAAUGAAAAUCCAACAAAUCUUAAAUUAGAAAGGGGCAAAAAAAUGAGACUUACCAAAAUACUUAUCUUCCUCGUUUUAUUUCACUAAAUACUUAGGUUAUCACACCCAUCUUCUUCAAUUCCCUCAUUUCAUGCUUCAUAUUUCGUACUUUAUUCUUCGUUUUUCAGUUAUUCAUUCUUCAGCUCUUUGUUCUUUAGAUUUUCAGCUCUUCUUCUUGAUCCUUUGUAGGAUCACCUUAUUCGCAGACUCUGCAUAUGCGUUGGCUUAUGGGUGGACAACGGAGAUGAACUUCAUUUGAACUCCUAAUUCAUGUAAAAAGUCAGUGAUCGUAGUGCUGGAAAAUUGGGUUUAAUUGUCAGAGACAAUGACGCUAGGCAACCCGAACAUGCACAUGAUCUUCUACUAGUAGAAAUAACAAACUCUUUUUGUUGUAAUAUUAGCAACAACUUCCACCUUUAUCCACUUUGCAAAAUAGUCGACUUCUAUAAUAAAAAACUUUAGUUUACAAUGUUGUAGAGGGAACGAGCAGAAGAUGUUCAUCCCCACUAGUAAAAAGGCUUGGGCAAUAUCAUGGAGUGAAUGAGUUCAGCUGGGGCGUGAUGAAGGCCAACGUGUCUCUAAAACUCAUCACAUUUCUUGAUGAAUGUCAUGUUGUCAUUUGACAAGGUGGACCAAUAAUAGUCUGCCCUAAAUAGUUUGUGGGAGAGAGCCUUGUCAUUAAUAUGACUGUCACAUGCCACUUAAAGGACUUAGAAGAAGACCAGGGCAGCUUCAUACUUCCCUAAGCACUGAAGCAUUUUAAAGGCUUAUCCUAUAUUGUAGAGUUUUCCUGUAAGAAGGGUAUACUUAGCAACCUGCUUUCGGACCCUCUUUGUUUCCCAUUCAUCUUGAAGGAGUUUAUCCUCCUACAUAAUGCAUAAUAUGGGCGACAUCCAACUUGACUCAAGGGUGACUUCUAGGAUUCGUAUCUCAUCUGCCUCAAUACUAGGAGACAAGAGUCUCUUGUAUUAUUAUCCAAUUAAACUCUGUUGUCUUUGGGCUGGAAAGUUUGGACACAAGGUCUUCUCUUUGGGCACGUGUUUUACUUUAAACGUUGUAAACAGUGUGUCGCACCGUGAAAAAUACCUGAGUGCAUCGCACACUCGAAGAUACACCAAAUCGCCACCGAACUUUAUUUAUUCCAAAGGAAAGGGAAAAUAUCUAUAAAACCCAAGGGGAAGAGAAAAAGGAUAAGGAAGUCGGUUAUGCAAGGGGAAGGUAUUAGAACCCCUCACAUCUGUUGUACUCAACGGGAACCAUUUUGAUUGUUCUUUGCGUGAAUGGGUGUUACUAUCUAAAGGUUACUUGCAAAAGGGGAAACCUAAGUUUUAAAUUUGUGUACUCGCUAAGGAUUCAAACUCCCGUGCCUAUGUAUUCUCAUAGUGCAAUGAGAAAAUCAAAGCUUCAUAGUUCGUGAUAAAAAAUACUGAUGUGUUUGUUGUUUUUAGGGAACAAUUAUAAUCUUAUCCUAGAAAUGUGUAGACUUUAGUUGAUUUUGAUCCUUGUUCGGAUGCUCUAAGCUUUUAGUCUGAUUGCUGAGGAACAAAUUAUAAUAGUUCUUUUAUGAAAAUAAAGAAAAUUGUUUUGAAAAAGAUUCGUGUGAUAAAAGAAAAAGAAAGAGUUGUUUGACUUUGAAUACAGAAGAAAUUGCUUAAAUUAAGAAAGAGUUUUGAAAUGAGGAAAAUGUUGCUUGGAUGUUAUGAAAGUAUUGUUUGAACCAGGAUUAUGUUGUUUAAAGCCAUAGGUAGGCGUGUCUGAACCAAAAAGUGAGGUGUUUAAACAAUAGAAGGUGUGACCAGCGAUAAAUGUAGGAUUUUUCCUAGAUCCUAGAGAUCAAGACCUACAAGAAAAAGGGUUGCCAGAGCAUGGAGUUCCACAGGGCAAUGUGUGAAGGUUUUCCAGAGCAUGGGGCUCCACAUGGCAAUGCAUGAAAGUUGUCAGAGCAUGAAGCUCCACAGGGCAAUGCAUGAGAUUUGCCAGAGCAUGAGGCUCCACGUGGAAAAAUAAAAGAAAAGGGUUUGCUAGAGCAUGAGGCUCCACAAGGUAAUGCAUGAAGGUUUGCUAUAACAUGAAGCUCUGCAUGGCAAUGCAUGAAAGUUGCUAGAGCAUGAGGCUCCACAGGGCAAUGCAUGAAGGUAUUGGUUCAAAGAUGGGUGUUUAACCAUAAGCUGAUUAGCCCAAAGAAUGCAUGGAUGUGCAAAGAAUACAAUGUAUGGUCCAAAGAGCAGUGUAUUAUUGAUGAGUGUAAUGGAUGAUGAUCAUUGAAGUAUUGAGGAGAAAUGCUGGGAAGAAGACUUGAUAGACAUUUGAUUUGAACUGAACUAAAGUCUAUGAAUGGAGGCGAAUACUUUGAAUAAAUUGGGUCUACGCCCGGUCCUUAAAGAUACCCAGAACAAGGAUAAGAAUAAUCCUUCUCAUUCUUCUCCAUUGCUUAAGGCUCAUGGCGCAUAAUUCACAUUAUGACUGUCAAGUCUUGAAGGUGAAUCUUUUUGUUAUGCUUGAUAUUGAAAGUAUUCAGAGUCUUGCAUAAUGAUGUCUUGAGCUUGUAUUUGACUUGAAGAAUCAGGUGCAAGAUAAGUUUAAGAAUCUAAUUCAAUCAAGUGAUAAAGGUACUUAUGAUCACUUGACUGAAUAUGGGUGAGCACCCAAAUCGUUCAUAAGAAACCCUGAGGCAAGCCUAAUUGUAACAUUUAAUUAAUUGAUCAAAAUUGACUUUUGAUCAACUGAUUAAGGAUAUGAUGGAUCAUGUUAAGAAUCAUACAAUCUAGCACAUGGAAAUAUAAGAAAAAUAAUGGUAUUAAGAAUUGAAAAUAAUCAUGUCAACUUCAAUUUCUAAUUAACUAUAAAAUAAAAUUAAAAGAAAUUAGUAAUUAAACUCAAUUGAAAGCUAAUCCUAAUUAAUUGAAAUUAGAAACUAAAUUCUAACAAAAUUAAAUUAAAUUAAAAUCCUAAUCCAAUUACUAAUUAACAAUUUUAUUUUUAACAUAAAAAAAUCUAACUAAAUGUUAUGGAAGUGUCCUUUUGAAAUGUGCUAAAAAAGAAAAGAUAAUAUUAAAAACAAAUAAGAAAAUAUAAAAAAUAAUAAUUGUCAAGGGUGAUGAAAUUGAAAGAGGUGGUGCUGAAUAGUAAGCAAAACGCUGACACAUGUAGAUUAAAGCCCGAUAUUUUUUUUUGUUUUUUUUUCAGCGUGAGAGGUUUGGUUUAAUUAAGGGUGUGUCGUAAAAAUAAGCUCAACAAGGGCACCAAAAAGGCCCAGAAGGCCACUAAAAACUUAGCAGUCAACAUUCAAUAAGAAGUCAAUACAGGGAAACACUACAUGUCGUCUGAUUGAUAUGCGUUGAAUCUGAUGGUGAUGAUCAAGAUGGCGCACUGCACGGCGAAAUACAUGAUCUUUCUGUUUUAUCAUUAUGCGCUAUUUUGUCUUAUUCGCUCAUGCCCGACCAGUGGUAAUGCGCCAUGUGGCAUGGAGAGAGAAAGGAAAAAAAGGAAAAGUGCCUAGACAUAUGUCACGCAACUGUAGGUUCUGGAUAUUUUCUUCAUUUGUUCCUCAAUUGUUCAUAGCUCUUGAAAUUAAUCUACCAAAAUUAUUAACUCAAAUAAACAAUAUGAACAUUAUAUAUCACUGGACUCGAUUUUUCUCAAGGAAUCUAAAUAUAUGGUCGAAUUUUACAAAUGAGCCACGAAUUUUGAAGAAUCAGGUGAAAAGGUGAAGAACAAAGUGUAUAAAGAAUCGAUUGAUUCACAUUCGUUAUAAUGAUUCGUGAAAAAGUAAUCACAUAUUCGGAAUCAUGACAAAAAAUUGCUUCUAGUGAUAUAUUUACAUGUUAUUACUAGUUAAGAAUUAAAAAAUCACUAUUUCAAGUUUAUGUGUUAUAUGCUAAAAUAAGUGAUUAUUCCAAUAAGCUAUUUCAAAAUAGUAGCUUAAAUUAAUCAACAAGAAAACGUCCAAUAAUUCAUGGUAAGAGUGUAGAAGAGAUGAAAGAUUAUCGACGGAGCGGAGGUUUACUCUGGUUAGUGUUGAAAAUCAGAGUGUCGAAGAGAAACCCAAAAUACUUCAAGAAUAAGCUCUUUAAUCCAAUUAAAUUCCAAGCUUGAUGAUUGUUUUUAAUGAUGAAUGAAUAUAUAAGAUAAAUCUGGAUGUAGAAUAUUGAUGAAUAAACUUGAAUUGAUGAACUUUGUAUGAUGAUUGUGCUUGAAUCUUGAUAAACUUUAGAUGAUGAUUGUUUAUGAUAAUGUAUGAAUUGUUGAUUGAUAAUUUGUGGGAAUUGGAUUGUGACUAAGUUCCACCAUUUUAGAACUUCAAUGUGAAAUUCUAUAUGGUAAUAAAUAUGGACUUUGGUGAUGUUGGGGGAGUGAAGAAAAUAGAGAGAACUUGAGAAAAAAUAGUGAAAAAAAUAUGAUUUAUUAGUUAUGUUAGUUAAGAUAAUUAAGCCAAAACUGUGAGAAAUUACAUGUUUAUAUAAACUUUAUAAAUGAAUGAUCACCAUUGGAUUGUGAUCCAAGUAAUAAGUUUAUCAAUAGUUAGAAAUUAAUUUAAUCCUUAGUCGUGGAUCACAAAUUUUAACCCUUGAAUUAAUUGUUAAAAAUGAUUAGGAUUUAGUGAAAAAAAUAAAAGUUUAGAUUUGUGUUUGUUUGGAAGUUAUUUAUGUUAUUUUGGGGCUAUGGUAGUUAAGGAUUAAUUGGGUAAUUGGAUAGUUUGUGGAUGCAUAGGUAGUUAGAGACAAAUGAUGCUUGUAUUUUGCAAAAAUGCUAUCACUAGUAAUUAAUUUGAUUUUAAAUGAUUUUCCCUUUGAUUUUUCAUCACUUUUGCCAUGGAUCUUUUGUGAAUUAUUCCAUGACUUUAAAUGCUUUUGACAAGUAAUUUUGUGUUGAAAAUAAACACUUUUGAAUGGUGUAAACUCAUGGAUCAAAUUCUGAAUUUUUGGGUUUGGAACAAUGUUGGAAAGUGUUGAAAAAACAAGUCAUGAAAGUAAAACUUGAUGAAAGAUAGAGUUUGUUGGAAAUUAGCACUUGACAUAAUCAUGACAUAAGUCAUUUGUGAUGAAUGAUGAUAAAUCUCUUGAUCAAAUGCUUGUAGAAUAUAUCUAGGAAAAUUUAGGAGUCAAAACCGAGUCAAUGGUCGACAAUUGACCAAACGUCAAUAGUUGACCAAAAAGUCAAAUGUUUGACCAAAAAGUCAAUUGUACCCGAAAUAUGUAAUCUUUUACACUUUUUCCUUGUAAUUAUUUCUUUUGAUUUGUAUCUCAAGAAAUAUGCAUUUUCCUGUGAAUUUCCAAUAAACGAAUGAAAUUUUCCUUUUAUUUCAACUUUGUCAUUUUCUUUGAACCCAAGCAAUCAUUUGAAUUAAUUAACAAUCAUUACGAUCUCCCAACUAAUCAUGAAAAGAGAUAAUCCACAACACAAAUAAUAAAACUGAAUAAUUACCACAUAAUAUCCUUCUCGAAAAUUCACUUAAACCAAAAUAAUCAUUAUUAUAGAACCUUUGGCCUAAAUUUGUUACAAUAUGCAAAUGCCGAUGAAUGAUCUAAAUGUAUGAUCAAAUAGACAAAUGUAUGGAUAUGAACAAAAUCACAAGCCAAGUGAAAAAUGAAAGAAAAAAAAAGUAGGGCAAAUUUUGGAAUAUGACACCGUGUCGAUAAAUUUCUUACCUUAUGAAGAUAUUUUAUGAGUUAUGGUUCUUUUGCCUGAUAUUCUCCAGUGACUUGGUUGGAGACUAGCUGGGAAUCACUUUUUGCCUUCAACCUAGAGGCACUCAUUUAUAGGGUGAGAACCAUAUUGGUGAUGAGAGCUUCAUACUCGGUCUGGUUAUUGCUAGCUUUGAAUUCAAACUUCAGUUCUUGUUUGAUUGGAAUUUCGCAUGGUCCUUCUUAUACUAUUACUCGCUGCUCCCUUUAACAUUUGAGGCACCAUCGAUCAAUAGGGUUCACUAUGAGGGUGCUUCCUCAUCCACCAAUGAGCUGAAUUUUGCCAAAAUAUGUGCCAUAGUUUGGGACUUGAUGCUUCUUCUUAGGACAUAUUGGAUGUUAUACUCUAAGAGCUCCACUGCUCAAGAUACAAUUCUUCCCACCAUGUCUGGUUUCUUAAGGACAUGUCAAAAAAGAUAGUUGGUUUUUAAGAGCAUUUUAUGACCUUGAAAAUAGGGACAAAGCUUCCUCGUUGAACAAAGACGACCAUAACUAACUUCUCAAUCGUCUGGUAAAGUGCCUCAGCGCCAUUGAACACUUUUCGUAUGAAGUACACAGGUCAUUUCGCCUUAUACGUAGAGGAGCAGUAACAAUCCUUGCCUCCGGCGAGUGAGGAUAUGUAAAGGCGUGAGAAAGGAUUUUAUUCUAAAGAAGGAUUCCUCGUAUUCUCUAAUCACUCGAACCUCUCCUUCUUUUUUAGGGCGGUGAAGAAAAGGAAAGUCUUGUCACACACAUAUGAAAGGAAACGAGAUAGGGCGGUGAGGCGAUCUGUUAGAUGUUGGACUUCCUUGACAUUGGUAAUGUUAAUGAUAACCUACCAUUUAUAUGGUUUUGCCUCAAUGCCCAUAUUCGUUAACAUGAAGCUCAAGAGCUUUCAUUCCUGCACCCUGAAGGGACACAUGGAGGGAUUCAGGCGCAUGUUGUACUUCUUGACUAAUUGUAGAACAUCCUCUAAGUUUACUGCAUGAUUAUGCCCUUUCUGUUGUUUUCACUAUCAUGUCAUUGAUAUAGACCUCCAAAUUCCACCCUAUCUGGUGGGAGAAUACGACCUUCAUGAGUCAAUGGUAUGUGGAGCCAGCAUUCUUGAGGUUGAAUGACAUGACAUUAUAAUAGUACUUGCCAUGGUUUGACAUGAACGUUGUCUUGGGCGUGUCAAAGGGACCUAUCUUAAUUUGGUUGUACCCCAAAUAGGCAUCCAUGAAGCUCAACUUACAGUAACCUAAUGACCCAUCAAUCAGGAAACCAAUAUCCGAUAGGGGAUAAGGAUCCCUAGGACAUGCUGUAUUGAGGUAUGUGAAAUUCAUACAUAUGCGCCACUUGUUCGACACUUUCUUCACCAACACUACAUUGGCUAGCCAGGUAUGGUAUUUUUUUCUAUGAUGAAACAUGUGAUUGAUACCUUGUUUACCUCUUUGUCCAUAAAGAUUAUCUUUUUCUUGCCAACUUUCUGCUUUCUCUGUGAUACUGGUCAUACAAAGGGGUUGACGGUGAGGCGAUGACACGCCACCCUAGUAUCUAUCCUCGACAUGUCAAAUAGGGCCAGGAGAAUAAGUCGACAUUCCUGAUGAGUUGGUCAACUAGUUCACACUCUUCUUCUUUAGAAAGUGAGGUGCCUAUCUUUUUCACCUGGUUAGAUAAAGGGCCUAUAUAAACCUCUUUCAAAUCCUCUAAGGGAGUGAACCUUUCUCUUUCAAUGCCCAACCUGGGAUCCCAGCUAGCAGUGUCUGCAUCCUAUGCUCCGGAGACUGUGGUAGCCUCGUGGGCGAGCUCUUCCCUUGUUAUUGCCAGCCUAUUCUCAUAACAUUCUUGGGCAUUUUUGUUGGUCUCCUAUAACCGUCAUGAGUCUCCCGCUGGGUAGCGGGUAUUUUAGGACCAUGUAUUGGGUUGAUAUAAUCACCUUUAACGAGUUGAUGAAUGGUCUGUCAAAGAUGACAUUAUAGGGAAAUAAGGCAUCCAUUAUGAGGUAAUUUACUUCAAUCACAUUGGAAUAUGAUCCCACGAUGCAUGUUGUCUCUAAGGCUAUGAGACCUCAUACCUGCACCCGUUCGCCUAGCGAACCUAUUGGCGAACCCUAGAACGCCUUAAUGUUGUCGGGAUCGAGCUAAAGCUUUUGGAAUUUGUUCCAAAAUAGGAUGUCACGUGAGUUUCCUAGGUUUAUCAAGAAUUGCUUAAUAUUUGAGUUACUGUAUUGCACAAUGAUGACCAUGAGGUUGUCAUGGUGAGGGAGGAAGCCACUGAUGUUACUGCUAUAGAAAGUGAUGUUGGCCAUUAGUUCUCUCUGCUCGGCUUUGGAGAGUCCUAGGGAUAUUACAUUUGCAGUCACCACCUACCAGACAUAUUUCCUUUAGGAGGCGCUGGAACUUCCUCCACCAACGAAACCUAUGGCUAUGGUGCUAACCAUGAAGUCUGGAUCUUUGUUAGCUAUUUUCAAGAGAAUGUGGUGAAAAUGGCGGUGAUGAUGGAAUGUGUGACCCAAGUUAGUUUUAUCAGGACCCCACGGUGGACGUCAUUGUACUUGUCAAAAAGUACAUAAUGUGUGACACCCCUAUGCUAGAAGGGGUGCCCAAAGGCCUUAGUUAUUUUCCGUGGGUUAGGGCUUACUCAUGGUGGUGAAAACCUUAUUUUGUGAUGUUUUUGGCUAUGGAGAGAGCAAGCUCACAUGAGGUGAUAAGUUAUGUAUUCUGAGGGUAUUUUGUGUACGUUAUGAGUUGUCAUUCGUCAUGCUAGUGAUAAGGUAUUUAAAGAGGCUCGUGGGCCUGGAGUUAGGUUUCUCAGGAAUGAUAACCGACCACUUAGUCUUAGUAGAUGACCGUUGAAUCCCUACUUCCUAGAAAGAUUCUGUUUAGCCAGUUGAUUAUGAAUUCCCUCUAAUUGAGACAUGUCUUUUCCCAUGUAUCCCGCAACAGGCGAGCAAGGAGUGUUUUAAGGCGAGGUUGCCUUAUUUUGAGUGCUUGAAGGGUGUCACACCUUAUUGGAGGCCACACUCUCCUCGCCCUUGACAAGUCUUUACAAAUAUAUCAUUACAAUAUUGAUCAUAAGUUUGUCUAUAGUUACUGUAAUACCCACAUUGAAUAGUCUAGAAUAUCAAUACAAGGUAUUAUCAUAACUGGUAUUGGUACAUCAAAAUAAUGUGAACAACAUCAAGAGUACAUCUGAAUAAAACAUUAUAUAAAGUACAUAAAAGUAUAUGUACACAAUGUAAAAUUAGUAAAUAACUAAAGGAUGUUAAAGAUCCACCCAUUCACUCUUCAAGUAAGCUUUGCCUUACCUUUAUCUGUCACUUGAUCAUCUGUAAGGAAAGGAACAAACAUGGUCUGAGAUAGCCAAAUCUCAGUGGAGUUCUUACUACAUCCAUAAAUUUUGUAUGUGGAAAGCUACGACACCUAUAACCCACUACCAUUAUCGAUAAAGAACUUAUAAGAAUGCAAGGGAUAUUCAACAUCUUGAAAGAAAAUUGCGACAUAAUCAAUUCCAUACACUAUAGAAAUAAUAACAUGAAUCUCAUACACAUAUAUAAACAUACAAAUCACAACUGUAAUAUUCUCCCACAAUUUGAGUCAAAUUUAUGAGAUCAUCAACGUCCUACUACGACUCUGUAUGACUCCAGCUCUGCUUUUGGGUCAUGCAACUAGUAUAUCAACGAGACAUGUCAUUCUAUAUAUGUAUAUAGUUAGUUUUAGUGUUUUUUUAUUAGAAUAAGAUUAUCUGAGUUCGAAAAUUGAUAAUUUAAAACAAAAUCUUUUUUGAAAUCAAAGUUUAAAAUUAUUUUAUAAAAUGUUUAAGGAAAGUAAAAAUUAAUUACAUACUGCAAUUAGAUAAUGGAGGGCAUUAACGUGUUUUUUUUUUGUUGUUGUUGUUUUAGUUUGAUGUUAGCAAAUAGGAGUUUAUUGUUGUUAGUUUUAAUAAACACUAGUCUUUAGGAAUUAAUUGCUUUUGAAUUAGGUUUUAUUUAUCCUGAGUUAUAGUUUGCAGUUACUACUAUUUAUAAAGGCUAUAUGCUUAAUGAAAUGAGUUUUUUUUUUUUAAGUUUACGUCUGUGCUAUAUGUUCUUUCUCUUCAACAAUAAAAUUUGGAGUAGUUUGCAACAUUUGUUUUGAAUAUCAUAAUUAUCUGAUAGAAAAGCCUUUCACCAAGGACCGCAUAGCGCAGUGGAUUAGCGCGUCUGACUUCGGAUCAGAAGGUCGUGGGUUCGACUCCCACUGUGGUCGUUUCUUUUGGUUUUCACUCUAUUAUCCUUUUUUGGUUGUCAAAACGACAUCGUUUACAUUCACAGGCAUACCCAAAGUUAGGGUUUCACCUUCAUCGUUGUUACUUGUUUGUUGCAGAGUAAAGUAUAGACACUCUUCAUUUCUUGAACUCAAAUCGGAAUCGGAAAUGAGUUCAGUAAAGAAACGCGAACCGAAUGUUGCAAGCAACAACAGAGAAGCCGAAGAUCAAUUGAUAGUAACACCAUUAGGAGCCGGCAAUGAAGUUGGUCGUUCUUGUGUCUACAUGACCUACAAAGGAAAAACCGUUUUAUUCGAUUGCGGUAUUCAUCCUGCUUACUCCGGCAUGGCGGCGCUGCCGUACUUCGACGAAAUCGAUCCUUCAACUGUCGACGUACUUCUCAUCACUCAUUUUCACUUGGAUCACGCCGCUUCGCUUCCUUAUUUUCUCGAGAAAACAACUUUCAAAGGUCGGGUUUUCAUGACGUACGCAACGAAGGCGAUUUACAAGCUUUUGUUGUCUGAUUAUGUGAAAGUCAGUAAGGUUUCUAUUGAAGAUAUGCUUUUUGAUGAGCAGGAUAUUAAUCGCUCCAUGGAUAAAAUUGAGGUCUGUAUUUCUUUCAGACUCGUGCUUUGAUUUAUCAUAAUUCAAUUGAUUGGAUUUAGGGUUUUAGUGUGUGUUAAUGUGUUUGUUGUUAGUAGUUGUAAUUCGGGACUGUGGGUUAUUCAUUUCUGAUUCAUUAGAUUUAGGGUUUUAUUUCUUUGGAGAGAUAGAAAGAGAUGUGAGUCAUGGAUUUCAAGCUGAUUGACUGAAAUGGAGGAGAGCCUCAGGGGUUUCAUGUGACACAAAAGUACUGCUAUAGCUGAAAGGGAAAAUUUUACCGAACAACGGUAACACUUGUGAUGUUAUACCGGACAAAAUGUUGGGCGGUUAAAAAUCAAUACGAGAAUAAAGUAAAUGUAGCAGAUAUGAGGAUGUUGUGUUAGAUGUGUGGUAAGACUAGAUGUUAGAAGAUUAAAAAUGACAAUAAUAGAGAGAGGGUUGGGGUAAGAUGGUGGAAAAUGUGCUUAGGUGGUUUGGGCAUUUGGGCAUGUAGAGAGAAGACAUAAGACAUGUGGAUUUUGUUGUAAGGAGAGUAUACCGGACAAAGAAGAUGGAGAGGAGGCUAACAACUAAAGAUAGAGGAAGACUUAGAAAAAUUAUAAGAGAUAUGAUUAAUAAAGAUCUUGGGAUAAAUAAAUUGGAUAGAAACAUGGUAUUGGAUAGAACAUUAUGGGGAUAUGUAUCCAUGUAGCCGAUCCCACUUAGUGGGGUAAGGCUUGGUUGUUGUUGUUGUUGGAGAUAUGUAAUUAUAAUAAUGUGUAUAUUUUUAGCUUCAAAACUUAAAUUUACAUGUUAAACAGUAGUUUUAAUUGGUGGUUGCAGGUUAUUGAUUUCCAUCAAACUCUUGGGAGUGAAUGGUAUUAGAUUUAGAGAUUUAUUUUUCCUUGGAGGCAUGUAAUUACAAUAAUGUGUAUGUUUGUAGCUUCAACAUUUUGAUGUAUAUGUUAAACAGUACUUUUAAUUGAUGGUUGCAGGUUAUUGAUUUCCAUCAAACGCUUGAAGUGAACGGUAUUAGAUUCUGGUGUUACACUGCAGGCCAUGUCCUUGGUGCUGCUAUGUUUAUGGUUGACAUUGCAGGUGUUAGAGUGUUGUAUACAGGAGACUAUUCACGUGAGGAAGACCGGCAUCUUCGAGCUGCAGAGACCCCACAGUUUUCACCUGAUGUCUGUAUUAUAGAAUCUACCUAUGGUGUACAACACCAUCAGCCUCGGCACACACGAGAAAAGAGGUUCACUGAUGUUAUUCAUUCGACCAUUUCUCAAGGGGGUCGUGUGUUGAUUCCAGCUUUUGCUCUUGGUCGGGCACAAGAGCUACUGCUGAUCCUUGAUGAGUAUUGGCAAAAUCAUCCGGAACUCCAGAAUAUACCUAUCUAUUAUGCUUCUCCUCUUGCCAAAAAAUGUUUGACUGUUUAUGAGACUUACACCCUUUCAAUGAAUGAUAGGAUUCAGAAUGCAAAGUCAAAUCCGUUUUCCUUUAAGCACAUAUCGGCAUUGAGCAGCAUUGAUGUUUUCAAAGACGUAGGACCGUCUGUGGUGAUGGCGAGCCCCGGUGGACUUCAGAGUGGGUUGUCACGGCAAUUAUUUGAUAUGUGGUGCUCUGACAAGAAAAAUUGUUGUGUUUUACCUGGGUAUGUUGUUGAGGGGACACUAGCAAAAACUAUCAUUAAUGAACCUAAGGAAGUUACUCUGAUGAAUGGACUCUCUGCACCUCUCAACAUGCAGGUUCACUACAUUUCCUUUUCUGCCCAUGCUGACUCUGCUCAAACAAGUGCUUUCUUGGAAGAGCUCAACCCGCCUAACAUAAUUCUUGUUCAUGGGGAAGCUAAUGAGAUGGGGAGGCUCAAACAGAAACUUGUGACUCAGUUUGCUGAUCGUAACACUAAGAUCCUCACUCCCAAAAACUGUCAGUCUGUUGAAAUGUAUUUCAAUUCACAGAAAAUGGCAAAAACCAUUGGGAAGCUGGCUGAAAAAACACCACAGGUCGGUGAAACCGUCAGUGGUUUGCUAGUUAAAAAAGGCUUCACAUAUCAAAUAAUGGCACCCGAUGAUCUCCAUGUCUUCUCGCAGCUAUCAACGGCAAACGUUACUCAGAGAAUUACCAUCCCUUAUCCAGGUGCCUUUAGUGUCAUACAACAUAGACUGAGACAAAUAUAUGAGAGUGUUGAGCCGUCAAUGGAUGAAGAAUCUGGAGUUCCAACCUUGCUAGUUCAUGAGCGUGUGACAGUGAAGCAUGAGUCGGAGAAGCAUGUCUCCUUGCAUUGGACAGCAGACCCCAUUAGUGAUAUGGUAUCAGAUUCGGUUGUUGCUCUAGUUUUAAAUAUUAACCGUGAUCUUCCAAAAAUAAUAGCUGAAUCAGAUGCUACAAAAAUUGAGGAAGCAAAUGAGAAGAAGAUAGAGAAGGUUAUGCAUGCUCUCCUCAAGUCACUCUUUGGAGAUGUGAAGGUUGGAGAAAAUGGGAAGCUGAUAAUUAACAUUGAUGGCAACGUGGCUGAACUCGACAAGGAAAGUGGUGAAGUUGAGAGUCAAAAUGAAGCCCUUAAAGAAAGAGUAAGAACAACUUUCAAGCGAAUUCAAAGUUCUGUGAAGCCGAUACCUCUUUCACAAAUUCAAAAUUCUGUGAAGCCGAUUCCUCUUUCACCGCCAUAGUUCUUUCUUUUCCAUAUGCUGUCCUAGGAAUACUAGCCCUCAUGCUCCACUAACAUGUAAGACAUUUAUCAUAAAUUGUAGUUAUUGGCAUGUAACAUGAACUUCGGCACAACAUUAUUUGCUCCAAUUUUACUUAAUUGGCGUUAGCCCCCAAUGUUCUUUGUAUCAUACAUUUUAGCAUUCAGUUUCUUUUAUUUUAGAUAUGAUUAAAUUUUGGUAUUAAUGGUAGCAUUCAGUUUCUUUUAUUUUAUAUAUGAUUAAAUUUUGGUAUUAAUGGUUUGUUAUCAUAUCUAGUUUUGGCAUACUUUUAGGUGAGCCUUUGUGAAGUCUCCCUUCAGGGUUUGUGCAGUAGUUUUGUUCAAUGAAAAUUCCACAGGAGAGAAUCCCCUCCUUGAAUAGAAUCACAAGGUCACAAACAUGCAGAACCAUUAAUGUGCACUCUUUAUUAAGUUUAAGUAAUACAAUCAUUUACUCCCUCAGUUUCAAACAACAAUAAAAUUUGUUUCAAAAUGAAUUUUAUUCUCAUUUCUCAAUUUGAAAAUGAUGAUUAUUUUUUUAAUUGUAUUUUUUGAUAAUUAUUUUGUACACUACUUUUAACAAAUUUACAAGGUUAAUUUAGAAAUAGUGCAAAGUCUUAUGACAAUAUUAGGCAUGGCAACAUAACCCAUAUCCGCGGGUACCAAUCCGAACCCGUCCCGAAGUUGACGGGGAAAAUCCGUUUUGACUGGGUUUGGGUUUGGGUUUUCCCCGAUUUUAAAAUAUGGGGAUGGGUCGGAUAAUGGGGACACUAGUACCCACCCCGAACCCGUCCCCGAACCCGCCCCGUUUAUUUCAAUAUGUACAUUAUUAUUUAUUUUUGAAUAUUUAGAGUAUUAAAUAUGUGGUCAAUGUUUUGAUAUUUUAAUUUGAAUUUAUUAUUUAAAAUAUUUGAAAUGUAUGUAUGGAUUUUUUUUUAUAUUGUUUUAUUUUAUUAUUUGUAAUGUAAUUUUAUUUUGGAAAAAUAAAUAUUUCUAUUUAAAAAAUUGAUUUCACUAAAUGAAUGGUGGCGGGGCGGGGAUACCCGAACCCAACCCGAACCCAUUUGGGACGGGUUUGGGUUUUGAUUCUCCAUCCCCGUUUGGGUUUGGGGGUUUGGGUUUGGGUUUGGGGAGGUAAAAACCGUCCCCGACCCGCCCCGUUGCCAUGCCUAGACAAUAUUAACACAAUUCUUAAUUUGUAUAUAAAAAUUUUAACCAACACUCAUUUUGAAACGAUGGGAGUAUGUUUUACUCUUUGCCAACAAGUUAAUCACAUGGGCAUUUAACAAUUUGAGUUGAAGUAAAAAAAAUAUUUAUUGACCAAAUUGAUUUUUUUACACAAAUAAAUUUAACGUAUUCCAUUUAAUAAGUAUUGUUCAAUACAAGGAAGAAUUAAAUUAAAAGUAUUACGUUUAGUUUUAGAAUUGAUCACUUUAGUCAAAUUUACUUGGCACUUAACAAAUUUAACAUCAAAGUUGGGAAUACAAUGUAAAAGAUUCUUAAUAGACAAAAUGAGUAAGCUAAAGUCUGAGUUGUCACCUUGGUUAGAAUGGAUAGUUUGAACCACUAUUUGAGAAUCACUUUUAAAAAUCAUAUAAUUCAGUUGCAUCUGGACGACUGCUUGAACUGCUUCGAGAAACAUAACAACUGACCCAGGUUCAUGGCUAUUAUGAGACGGUUCCAUCUUCUCUAAAUAUCCUGCAACCUCUACUUUAGUUUUCCUCCGUUUCAUCUUAUUCCAUCUCUCUAAUUCUACUCCACACGAUGUUAUAUGUUGCAUUACAUCAAUAUUCUCGCCUUGCAUCCAACCAUACAUCACGAUAUUAUAUAUUUCAUCCUUCUUCAACCACUUGCUUUCAAACUUGAAUGAAUAUUUGUUGUUGGUUCUUUUAGUUGGCCCGCAUUGCAAUAAAAUAAGGUUAUAAUAUGAGUGUGAGGCUAUCAAAUUAAAUAGCUUGACAUUAGGAAAAUUAACAAUCCAAUAUGAGUUUUCUAAAUCUUUAUCCAGUCUCUCUUCCACUACCUGGACAACUCAUUUACUUUUAAUCCAUGUAAACCAAUGGCCUUCAAGUGUAAUAUCAGUUAAGUCGCAGUUACUACCCGCAUUACAAAAUCUCGUGCAUAACCAGUUCAAAUGAGGGUGGAUUCCUCAUUUAUCUUGUUGAGAUAAAAAGUCAUUAAAGUCACCAAUGAUACACCACGGAACUUUCGACAUGUCCCGCAGUUUACGACGCAAAUCCCAAGAUUGUGUUCUUCUUCCCCUAUCAGGGUAGCCAUAGUAGCACAUUAGUGUCCACCCCCCUUCACUUCAUCUUGUAUAAGAAAAUUCACAAAGUUCCUUGAGCAGUUCAUCACACUACACUUGACUUUUUCUUUCCACAAAACAUCUAAACCCCCAUUUCUACCUGCAAUCCUAUGUUUAUCAUUCAUCAUAUUUGUUAUACCUCAAUUUUUCCCCAAGCAUUCUUUCACCAAAGAAUUUGCAUCAUAUUUCAGUUAGUCAUUCAUUAGUUUAAUAAAAGUCAAAAGUCAAUAAACUUUCAUUCCGUUUUAAAAUAAAAAAAAAACAUUUAAUUACAUUCCAUACAUUUCUAUCGUCUCAUGCAUCUUUUUAAAGCAAUUCAAGAUCAUCAAAAUAAUUUUUUGGAUCUACAGACAAAUCGGUUGAAUCAAUUUUCAAAAUGUAUGUAAAUGAAAUUAAUUAAUCUACGAUUCAUGUAGAUGUCAGUUUAAUUAAUCUACGAUUCAUGUAGAUGUCAGUUUAAUUAAUCUACGGUUUGUGUAGUUUCACCCGGUGUGCUCGCGUAAUUUCUAAUCCUUUUCAACCAGACAUUUUUUACUUGAAAAUUUGCUCAAAAUCUAACUGCUUUUCGAAAGUAUAUUUCGUGCUGAUCAUUUUAAUGCAUUCAUUUUAAUACUUCAAACAUUUUUGUGUUCAAUUUUUAUUUAUUUUAAAUCCUUUUAUUUUUAUUUUUUGUCGAGAUGUCAAUAAAAUUAUUUUUAGAAUUUAACAAGUGACCAGUUUGGUUUAAUAGGAUUGUUUGAUUUUGGUUUUUCUUUUUUCAAUUUAAAACUCUUUUAAUACAAAAAUAAUUAUCAAUAAGGAUAACUUUGGAAUAAUUUAUUUAAAUAGUAGCUUGGGAUCGGAGAAUACGGACACCAAGACUAAACAGUGCAUCAUCUCAUCCAACCAAUAUUUCAUCAUACUCAAAGACCUCAAAUACAUAAAGGAAAGUGUGAGAGACUCUGAAGGCAGGCUAAUGCAUCAGGAUGUGGAACAUGUGAAUGUUUCGGUCGGACGAAUCAUUAAUUUUCUUGUCAAUUGUUGUGUAUUUUAGCUUUAUAACAUUAUAUUAUUAAUUAUUUUCCAUUUUCAUUUUUAUUUCAAUUCUUUUUAAUUAUAAGUUAAAUUUUUUUAAAAUAAAAAUAAAAAUAAAGGAUACUCCACUUGCAAUGACGUGCCACAUGCAAUGACGCAUACACUUAAUGGCAUAAUGCUGCAUGCAGACACCAUUAAGCAUGACGCAUUUGUUCAAUUACCUAAAGGAUGCGUCGUAUGGUAUGUCGCAUACUUUAAUCGGAUAAUUUUUUUUAUUUGAAAAGUGGUUAUAUUGGUAUUUUUUUGAAAAAUAUGUUAUUUUGGUACUAUUUUUGAAAUAAUUGUUAUUUAAAAAAAAUUCAAGAUAUGCUACUGCCAAUUGCCCCACUAUAUAAUUUUGAAAUCACCCCAAAAUAUACAUACAUGUUUUUCACACAAAGAAAUAAUAAAGGUGUUGGAUCUUUCUAGUGAUGUGCAAAAACUUACUCCAAGUGAUAAGGCUUGAAGCAAUAUUAAGACUAAAACUUUUAUUUUUUUGUCUUAUUUAUAAGAGAAAAUUUACUUUUUAAAUUUAUUGAAUAAUCAAUGUAUUUGGUCUACUAAUAUAGCAAAUACAUUGAUUAUUCAAUGAAUCUAAAAAAUAAAUUGUCUCUUAUAAAAAAGAUCAGAGGGAGUAUUAGAAUAUUGUCUAUUAGUCGACCCACAAAUCCACCUAUCUAAAUCAAAACAAUCCAUAAAUGAUAUCAAAACCUGUUUACUUACGUGUAUACCUAAUCCAACGUGCAACAACUCAUAUAAUUUUGGUUCAAUAUUAGGUUUGAGUUUCUGAAUCGUCAACCCAACUUGUUAACGUGACAUUAGUGAUUUCUUUUUUUUAUAAUUAUUUUAAAUGGAUAUAAAAUUAAUCUAUUACUACAAACCACAAUUUUGUCAAAAAAAAUAUUUACCAUCAAUAUUACUACUAGAUUAACGAGUUUAAAUAAUUUUAAGACUAAUUAUUUUAUCUUAUAUUCUUUUGUAUCAUUUCUAAUUCAAGAAUUUUAUGGAAAUUAAGUGUUUUUGGAAAUUUUGUAGACAAUAUAUAAUGUGUUAGAAACAAGGUUAUGGAAAUUAUACCGGAUCGGCCAGUUCAACCAGUUAGACUUCGAAUCGAGCCUACAUACAGUCUAUUAAACCCUUAUAACCGGUCUGCCAAAGAAUCGGGACAAAAACCAAAAAACCAGAUGAAAAUCGGGAAAAUCGGUCAAAACCAGAGGUUUCUCCAAUCACAUAGGUUGAACCGGAUUUUAAUAUUUUUAGUUUUUUUUUUUAUAUUUAUUUAAAAUAAAAACAUAAUUAAAGGUGAAAAAAAUAUCAAUGUGGUACAAUAAAAUUAGAUGAGUCUCACAGAUGAAGACAUGUCUCUAAUCCCUUCAACUCACAGUUUAAAACAUGUCUCUAACCCCAUCAAAAUUUUGAUUUCCUUAGUAAAAAAUAGAGACUUAUAUUUAUAAAUAACACUCUCUACUUUAGUUUAUAAUUAUUUUAAUGUGAGGCUUAAUUUUGUAUUAAUGAUAUGACAGUUUUUUCGUAAAGUUGACAACACUUAAAAAUAAAUGUGUUUCGUUCUAAAUUCUAAUAUUAUUUUUCUUAUAACAAACACCUCACUAAUAUAUUUUAGACAUAAUUACUCCUCAAGUCUUUUAACUUAAUUUAAAGUUCCGCUUUGAUCCUUAAUUUAAAGUUUCGCUUUGAUACUUUAAUUAAAAAAGAUUACACUUCCGUCCCUUAAAAUUGUUUCGUUAGUAUUAUUGGUCCAUUCCGUUAAUUUUUCAGAAAAACAGUUAACUUUUGCCAACGUGGCAUGACAACUAGGAUAUUGAGUCAGUAAAUUUAUUUAAAAAAUUAAUAUUUUAUUUAAACUUAAGGGUUUCUUAAUAGUGCUUAAAAAAUAUGACACCAACGAUACAUAACAAUGUUUAAUUAAGAAAGUACUAAUCAAAACCACUUGCAGGUUUGAAAAAUUAUUUUUCUCAUUAACAUUAGUAUCUUCGACAAAUAUUAAAACCAAACAAAGCUUAUCAAUAAGUGGACAAUCAAUUUCACUGUCAUACAUCUCAUAACAACAACCAUAGUGAUAUCAAUGUCUCAAAAAACUUAAGAAGCAAAGAAAUAUGAAAAAAAAAAAUAUAAGCAGAAAGAAACAGAGAGUCAACAAGUCGCGAGAGUUUUGACAUUAGUUAUUUGUGCUAUCAAAUCAUCUGAGAAAAAAAAACUCGACCGCAACUUUUAGUCGGAAACCGUCGCGCCUGUUCAAGCACCCUCAAACACCACACAUAACCACUUUCUAUGACCCUACUUUUCCGCCAACAACACAACAAUAACACCCCACAUCAGAUCCAUCGAUGCAAAUCCAUUCGUAUUUUCCAUACCCUUUUAGAUAUUGAUUUUGAAUCUUAAAUUGGUUUGUUGCUAUUGAUGUUCUUCUGUUAUCAUAGUUGAAAAUAAAAUUGGGUGAAUGUGAAUCCAAGUGAAACCGAGAGAGCAUGAUGUUUAUUGUUCAUUUUCUGAAAAAUGAUUAUGGUGAGGAAGAAGAGAUGAACCUUGAGAAAAAGAGAGAGUUGUUUGAAUGGAGGUAGAAGAAGAGGUUUCGAGAGAGUUAAUGUGGUAUUGAUUUAAUGGAAAGUUGAAUUGUGAGAAAAAGAGAAAUGAGAAAGGUGUUGUGACCGCUAGGCUUUUGAUUUUGGGGAAGGGGAAGAAGGAGAUUUCUGAAUGUAUAAUAAAUAAAAUAUAAAAUAUAAAAUAAAUAAAAAAACCACCUUAAAUAAACAUAAUAACAAUUAAAUUUCCACAUAAAAAAUACUUAACAUUUUUCUAUAAAAUUUAACGAAAAUAUCAAUUAUACUAAUUGAACAGUUUUAAGGGACUAAAGUGUAACUUUUUUAAUUGAGGGACUAAAGUGAAACAUUAAAUUAAAUUUAAGGGAUCAAAAGAUGAAUUAAACCUAUAUUUUACAUAAUCCACACGAUUCUAUCAUUUUUUAACUCUUUCUUAAGCUGACUCUCAUAAAGAAAUUAGAUGUAAUAAAAGUCACUGAUCUAUAUGAUAAAGAAUUAGUGCUAAAGGAUAUAACCUACACAAUAACGGUCCAAUAUUGGUCUAACCCCUAUCAAACCUUAAAACUCUAAACUCAUGUCUAUACUGGUUUAAUGUCCAUGUUACCUUAGAAACUUGCAUAAUUGUAUUUAAUUUUUUAUAAUUGAAAAAAUGAUAAGAUUUUUUUAUAAUUGUAUUUAAUAUAAACGAAUGGGUAAUUCUGAUUUGAUUUUGAUAAUAAAAUUGCACAUUAGACUAUACACCAACUUUUUUAAGUCUAGACGGAUUGAGUAAUGCAUUAGACAAAUCCCGAUCCAAUCUAAUCCAAUAUGUUACACAUAUUGACUAGAGUGAAACUUCGAUCCAAUCUAAUCCAAUAUGUUACACCUAUUGACUAGAGUGAAACUUUUGCAUGAUGAUUCAUAAUUAUUUAUUCCAUUUAAAAUUGAUCUAUUUUCUUUUUAAUUGAGAUCACAACGAAUCAUUAAUAUCAAGAUGGCUCACAUUUUUUUUAUUAAUUAUAGUUUUUAUUUAUUUAUUAUGGUACAAUAUAUAACUAUUUGUUAGUACAAUAUAAAUAAAUUUUUUUAUUAAUUAUAGUUUUUAUUUAUUUAUUAUGGUACAAUAUAUAACUAUUUGUUAGUACAAUAUAAAUAAAAUUAUAAGAAUGUGAAUAAAGCUCUUUAAAAAAUCAUAUUGUAAAUAAAUAGACAUACUUUUGCACAAAAAAUGUUGGCCCUAGACUAUUAUCUAAUUUUAAAGUAAUUACUCCAUUUAUUUACUUUUAUGAAUGAGAUGUAUUUUUGUUUUUCAUUUUUGUCUUAUAGAUUGGGCCGUAGUAAUAGCAAAUUGGGCUCUAAAUAACGGGCCCAGGAUCCAAUUGGGUUUUAAGCUACAACAUAUAUAAACAGAAUUAGGGGUUUUAUCCCAAAAAGAGAGACGAAGAAGCAGAUUCCGAACCAGAGAGGCGUAGGGAGCGAAAAUGGUGAAGUUCUUGAAACCUAACAAGGCGGUGAUUCUCUUGCAAGGCCGAUAUGCCGGCAAGAAAGCCGUGAUUGUGAAAACCUUCGACGACGGAACCCGCGAGAAGCCUUACGGACACUGUCUUGUUGCUGGAAUUAAGAAGUACCCUAGCAAAGUGAUCAAGAAAGACUCAGCGAAGAAGACGGCGAAGAAAUCUAGGGUUAAGGCAUUCGUGAAGCUGGUGAAUUACCAACAUCUGAUGCCUACUCGUUACACUCUAGAUGUGGAUCUGAAGGAUGCUGUUGUUCCUGAUGUUCUUCAAUCAAAGGACAAGAAGGUGACUGCACUGAAAGAAACUAAGAAGAGGCUUGAAGAGAGGUUCAAAACAGGGAAGAACAGGUGGUUUUUCACCAAGCUUAGGUUUUGAAUUUUCACUGUUCUGUUUCUAGUUAUACAUUUUGGCUUUUGAUUAUUAUGAAUGAAUUAUGGAAGAACUUGUGGCUUAGUUUUGAUUAUUAUGAAGGUAUUAUUAUAUGCAUCUUUGAUCUAUCUCAUAUAUUAGCUUGAUUAGAUUGGUUAUUUACAUUUUGAAAUUGUGGUUAAUUUGGUUAAUUCAGAAAAUAAGAUAAGGAAUGCAGGAAAUAUUACGAUUUUGUAUUUUAUACAAUUUUUUCUCUGCUAUACUAUUACUGCUUGUUUAAGCUUGUCUAGCUUAGUAGGUUUUUAGCCACGGUAAUUUUUAAGAGCUCACGAGAUAAAUGUCAUUUUUUGUGUUUGAAUAACAAACUGUCUUUAAAUUAGACUACCGUUUUUGUGGUUUGGUGAGGAUGCCUACCUCCUGAUAUCUUGUGCCCCAAAAUUAGAUUCACACAACUUUUCCAUUUCAUUUGCAAACUCUUUCAUUUACAAAAAAAAUGAUAGCAGACAUCAAUAUCUUUGCUCCUUUCAUGCACCACUUAUCACAAAAACUACUUUGUAGCCUCUUUUCACUCAUAUAGUGUGACAACUACACCUUGUAGUGUAAAAAAUAAUGCUUCUGUGUUUGCUUAGUGUCAUUAUUAGUUGCUUUUUUCUCUGAAUUAUGUGUCUGAGUUGCUUAGACUAUUAGUUGAUUUUUUCCAUGUCUUGCUUAGAGUCACUAUUUGUAACGCAGAAAAAGAAUAAAAAAAAACUGCAUUGAAAUAUAAUCAAUUGGCAGGAGAAAGGAAAUAAUGAGAGGAUCCAGAUCUGUAACCACAUGCAUUACAUUCGGCCUUGUAGUUGUGAGCUACAUCAAGCCUUCGACUAGCUGCUUGUAAAAGAACCGUCCAUCUUAAGAGCAUUUUUAUCCUUGAAGAUUUUGAAUGCUCCAUUCCAAUUUUCUUUCAUUUAUGAGACAUACUUUAUUUGACUAAUGAAACAUAGUACUCCAAUAUCAAGAAAGCACAUCAUCUUUUAUUGAGCUUGCACAUCUUCUGCUCCACAUUCUUUAUCUCAUAACCCACUGUUGCUCUUCACAGGCAAUUCUAACUAAUUUUCUGUAAAGAAAGACCGAGUUUAUGUGGGAAGUUGAAACACACCAACUUCUUUGAGCAACUAAUGCUUAGAUUGUUUGCACUGUGUCCAUACAAGCAACAUGGGGCAUCUCUUAUCUUCAGAAGAAGUUUGAUCAGAGUGAACAAAAUGAGCAAACAAAGCUAAAAUGAGCAAACAAAGGUAGUUAAGUUUAUCCGGUUUCCUCUUAAUUAGAAAGACCUCUUUUACAUGGACUUUCAUUCAUCCAUGUCGAUGCUCUUCUCUUUCAGGUUUCUGUCACUGGGAAAGUAUAAUUUUCCUCACCUUUAGGAGUCAAAUGAUCUUCUUCAUUGUAUUCUCAAUUCUCUUCAUUGCUGUCAUCCUUGCCAACUCCAUAUUCCAAUUCAAAUGUAUUAUCCUCUUUACAACUCUCAUCCUAACUAUACUUUUUGUCUUCAAAAAUGACAUCUCGACUAAUGACAAUCCACUUUGAGACGUGGUCGUUGCGACUCUUAUCUUCAAGUUUUAUCCGUCGAAAAUCUGGUACAUGAGCAUAUGUUACACUGCAAAAAUCUCUGAAGUGUUAGAUUUACCCUAUAACAAGCUUCCUUUGGCGUCAUCUCUUUUCCUGAAAAUAUUGGACAUAUAUUAAAAUCAUGGAAUUCCUAGUUGACUUCCUCUUGCCAAAACCUUUUUGGGACAUAUUUCUCAAUCAAUAAACUCUUCGCCAUGUUCAUCGCUUUUUUAUUGGUUUUCUCAUCGACUAUGUUUUGUUGUGACAUAUAUGCAACAAUUAAUUUCAUCUUGAUCCCAUUUGUUCUACAAUAUUCCUUGAACUCAAUCAAUUUCUUUUUCCCCAAGAACAUUAAAUAGCUUAAAAGAUAUGAAUGCAUCUGCCUUUGAGAUAAGAAAAUACACCGAUUUCAUUUAUACGAUAAUUAUCAACAAAACAAAUGAGACACUUUUUGCUACUUUAUGAUAUUGGAGAUAUUGACCACAAUAUCAUCAUCAACUAGCCACAGUUAUUAACAGCGGUCGCUCCAAGCACUAUCCCAGUUUUGGAUAACGCCAGGAAAAGUUGGGAUAAAGAGUUGCGGGAGCAGAGUGCUUCCCGGUCCGAAGCGUUUUUUUUGCUUUUAGGGCUUUUUGGAGUGCAAAAAAACCUUUUAAUCCUUAAAAAAAAUUAAAAUUUUAAAAAAUAUUAUAGUCGUUCGUGUUUUCUCCUCUUUCAUUCGUGUUUUUAGGUUUCUCCAUCGCAUUUCUUUUGUUCGUUGUUUCUCGUGUUUUUUGUGCGCUACUUCUUAUGCCCUUAACUCCUCAUCUGCCUCAACUGCUUCAAGCUUCUCUCUAUUCUCCUUCUUCUCUACUUCUGUUUUCUACUUUUCUAUUUUGUUCUCUAUCCUGUUCUUUUCUAUUAAUUAAUUUUCUAUUCUAUUUCAGGAUAGUUUUUCUUUCAUAUCAUUGUUCUCGAAUUAAUAUAUGUAGAUUAUUCAUAUAACUAAUCCAAAAUAUUAUUCAAUCUACAUUAAAUAUAUAGUUAGAUUAUUCAUAUUAUUAGUCAAAAAAUUUAUCCCGCUAUCCACUAUCUCAUUUUAUGAGUCGGCCGCUCGGCUUCGUUAUCCGGGAUAAAUAACUGUGGAACCAACUUCAACCUUUCUGAUGCUCUUCAUGUGUUGCUAUUUGCGAUCAUUUCUUUGUGUUACUUCCCCUUCAGACAAUCACUACAUACAACUUCAACCUAAAAAAAAACUCGGCAAACCUCUCACCAUACCUUUGUUUUUAGAGUUUUCGAUCCUUUGUAGAUGAGGUGACUGAAUCUUUGGUGCCAAAGAUAAGUCAAUUCUUGAGUGGUUGCUUGAAAAAAAUUAUUCCUUGGGUUCCUCCUCAUUUGACUGUGUGUUUGAUAACAACAUAAACAUUUUGUUCGUUGUCAUGUUGGUUUGAAUAAACAAUAACAUUAAUUUGGCUUCAUUAAAACAAAUAGACCCUUAUCUUGCAACUACUUAACAUUGAUAAGGUAGUUCUUCAAUUUAGACACAUAAAACACAUCUUCACUAGAUGGUUUUCUUUGUUCACUGUCAAUUAGAUGCUUCAUUUAUCAACAAUGUGAAUGCUUGCAUAAUUCCCCAACUUGACGAGGUUGUUGAAACUUUCUUGUAAGUUGUAAAAAAGUGAUCAAUUCUCACACAUGUGAUUGUUGCACCCAGAAUCAAUAAACCACUCAUUAAUACCACCUCCUUUGAAUCUUCCAAGUAUGCAUAAUUUGUUUCACAUUCGUAUUGGAAAUGUCUGAUUUUAUGACAUUUAUAGCAUUAAAUGGUCUCUCUAUUCCAAUUUUGAUGACCAUUGCCUUUGGCUCUGCUUUGUCCAUGUCCUCUUCUAAAAGUGGCUCUUCCACAACCUUUACCAUCACAGGUCUCUUCGUGAAUGACCUUCAAAAUGUGUUCUUAUUCGCCAGUUACCUUAAACUUUUGCUCACGGACGAGCAAAGAACUUUGUAAGGCAUCCACAAAGAGUUAAUCUAUAUCUUUGGAUUCUUAAAUGGAACAAACGAUGUAAUUCCAUUUAUCAGUAAAGGUUUUAAAAAUAUUCUCAAUGAUCUUAACAUCCCUCAUAUUUCCCCCUAUAAUUUAUUAUGUCUUACAAUCGUCAUUACUCGACUAAAUUAAUCAGUGAUCGACUCAUCAUGGUUCAUUGUCAGAACCUAAAAAUUCUUCUACGGAUGGUUGAGUUGAGCUCCCUUCAUUCAAGUGUUGCAUUGAAACUUGGUCUUCAUGGAGUCCCGAUUCUAUUUAGAUGUCUCGUUUUGUGUGACCGUUUUUAGAAUUGAAUUGUCAAGAGAUUGAAGCAAGUAACUUUUACCCUUAAAGUCCUCCAGCUUUAUCUUCUCCAAGUUUUGUUUUUGUGUUCUUGUCAUCCCUUACAUACUCUCGGAUUCUGAGCUGCCUAAUUCAACAGGAACCCAUUAUUCUUUAGAUCAAAGGAGAUUAUUCAUGACCUUGCUCUAUUGAUCGUAGUCACCAUCAAAAUUCAGAAUGAAAGGUUCUGCAAAACUUUUUACUUCUGUCCCCAUCUCCCUUCACUCCCUUACGUGUUUUCUCUCAAGUCAUUGCUUUGAUACCAGAAUGUUAGAUGAAAAACUAACUUAUGUGUUGAAUAAGAAAAUACAUCAAAUAAAUAGGAAUAAAACAGGUGAACUACAACUCAUGUUCACAACCCGCAUUUUACAUAAGAAAUAGGAAACAAACUUGACCAAAUCAAAUAUAUUAUACCUAAACUUAUCAAUAACAUAGGCACUUUAGUGGGGAAAGAAACCCAUUAACCAUAUUCUUAAGAAAAAGUAAUUCAACAACCAAUGUAUUUUAAUUGUUAAGAAUGUGUUUGAGUUUUUUUUUAUAAGCAAAAUUUCAUUACAAAAAACAGAGUAUAAUGGGUACUCUAGCCCAACAAUACAUAUACAACCAGUCACCUCCUAAUCAAGCAAUUCAAGGGGGAUGUAAAUCAGACGAAGAAAUUAUAAACAAAGUUAUUAUUGUUGCCUAUAACAGUCCAAUUCCAAGAAAGAAGCUUAAUAAAUAAGAGUAUGUCUUCUAUGUUGAAAAUUGUACCUUGAAAUGAAGUAUUAUUUCCCUUCAUCCAAAUGCUUCAACAAUCAGCUAACCUAAUUGAGUCUGCCAGGCUAGAACUGAAAGCUUUCCUCAAUAGCCUAACUGUUAGAUGUUAAUAACGCUUUUUUACACGAUGAUUUUAAUGAAGAAAUUUAUAUGAUUUUACCUAAAGGAGUAACUAUUAAUACUCCUUCAUCUUCAACUACCAAAGUCUGCAAGUUUCAAAAGUCCAUUUAUGGACUCAAACAAACUAGUCGACAAUGGUAUUCAAAGUUGUCUGAAUCCUUAAUUUCUAUUUGUUAUAAACAUUCUCUUAUUGACUACUCCCUUUCCAUAAAGCACGAAAACUCUUCAUUUACCAUUUUAUUAAUUUAUAUUGAUGAUAUUGUUCUUUUUGGAAAUGAUUUAUCUGAAAUCAACUCUGUUAAAGCCUAUCUUCACAAUUGUUUUAAAAUUAAGGACUUAUGCAAUAUUAGAUUCUUUAUUGGUUUAGAAUCAGCCAGGUCUUUUAAAGGAAUCAUGAUAAAUAAAUAAAAUACACUUUAGAACUCUUGGAAGACUCUGGCCAACUUGCUAUCAAGCCUUCUAAAACCUAUAUGAUCCUUCCCUUAAGCUAGAUAAUCCAGAUUCCCUUCUCUAUGAGGAUGAACCUCAAUUUCAAAGACUUAUAGGAAGACUUCUUUAUUUAAAUACUACUAGACCCGACACAGACUUUGUUGUUCAAUAACUUAGUAAAUAUAUCUCCAAACCGAAGCUAGUUCACUUCAAAGCUGCUAUUCGUGUUUUACAAUAUUUAAUAUUUGCUCCAAGUACUUGCAUUUUUUUUUGUAUCUGUUGAUUUUUGCUUAUCUAACUUUGAAGAUUCUAAUUGGGCUACUUGUCCAACCUCUAGAAGAUCUGUCACUGUUUGUGUUGUAUUUCUUGGCAUUCUAUAGUCUCCUGAAACCUAAAAAGUAGGGCAUUAUCUCCCAAAGUAGUUCAGAACCAGAAUACGGUGCUUUGGGAAGCCUAGCCUAUAAAAUUAAGUGGAUACACUACCUAUUUAAUGAUUUCAACACCUCGUUUCAUCAACAAACUUCAGUAUAUUAAGACAAUAAUUCUUCAAUCUACCUCACUCACAAUCCUCCUUUUCAUGAACAAUCCAAAUUAGGGUUGGCAAAACGGGUCGUCUGCCCUGCACAUCUUAAGCCCGCCAAAAAAAGGGGAGGGACGGGCAAGCCCGACAAGUGAAGUUGGACUUAAAAAUCUAUCUAACCCCGCCAAGGUGGCGGGUUGGCGGGCGGCGGACUUGCCCGUCUAUUUAUUUAUUAUUCAUUUUUUAAUAAAUAAAUAUGUUUAUUUUUAUAUUUCAAUUAGUUUUUUCACUUACUUUUUAGAAUACUUUUUUAUAAAGCAUAAUUUAACAAAUUUUAUUUAAAAAAAUAUUGCAUAUAUUCAUAAAUAAAUAAAUAAAAUAGAAUCAUCAACAAGUAUUUUAAAAUUAUAGUUUAAAUACUAAUCUUCAACCAACGAAAAUAAAUAUUUCAAGUGGUUGACAACUAGGUUGAGGGACCAAUCCACCCUUUUUUUUUGCGGGUUUAAGGCGGUGCAGGCUUAAAGUGGGACGGACGGAGCGGAUAGACGGGUAUAAAAUCCUAACCCAAUCCACCAUUUUUGAAGGGUGCACGGGCCGACCCGACGGGUCACGACCUAUUUUGCCAUCCCUAGUCCAAAUAUAUGGAACUCAAUUGCCAUAUGAUUUAGAAAAAGAUAGAAUCUGGGCUCAUCAAACUGUUUCCUAUCAUUACCAAGACUCAAAUGCCAGAUUUUCUAACUAGAACAACCGUAUAAACCAGCCUUUGAGACUCACAUUUCCAAAUUUGAACUACUCAACAUUCAGUCUAAUUUGUGGGGGAUGUAUCACAUAUAGGAAAUAUUACAUAGUUUAUAUUUUUAUCGCUCUAACCAUUAUGACUAGUUAAAGCUACUAGCCAUUACUUUCUAGUUUAUAGGAUUAUGCUGUUAUUUUCCUGUGUGUAUAUAUAGGGGAUUGUUAUAUUUUCUCUAUGUUGAAUAAUAAAGGUGUGUAAACAUUAAUAUUAAAAGUUAAAUUAAUAUGUUUAUUUUAAUUAUAAAAAACGAAAGAAAUUGUUUUCUUCUUCAACAAAGAUUUGCAUUCGUCACCUCUUUUUCUUUCAAUUCUUAUCAUUUUUUUAUUUUCUCUUUUGCAAAUCCAAUACAUACCACACCACCGGUUACUUAUUCUCUGUUUUGAUCUUCCAUCGCAUGUCUAUACAACUACGCCACUAUUUUUGAGAUAGCGAGUGUCGAUUAAUGAAGACAAUAUUUUUUUUAUUGUGUGACUAGGUUGAAGAAAAGUAUGAAUCCUAAUUUUUAUGUCAAUUUUGUAUCUAUGAAAACAAAACAAAAAAUGAUGUAUUUAGCGACCUUCCGAAUGUAUUUGGUAAGGAAUGGAAAGGUUUAAGUGGAAAUGAAUUUGGAGAGACAUUUUUGAGUACAUUGAAAUGAGAAAAAAAUGUCACAUGAUUAUAUAUUGAAAGACACAUAUAUGAUAUAAAUAUUGAUUUCAAUAGAAUUUUGGAUGGUCUUAGUAUAAUGAUUUUGUAUUUUGACCUUAGCGAUUUCAUUAGAAAGGACAAUGUCUCUCCUAAAAUAUAACAUAUUUUGACGAGUGUCAUUUUUAAUAAAAGUGUUCGAUAUAUAAAUGUAAAAUUUGAGAUAACCACAAGACAAAAAUAAAUUUUUGAUUGUUUGUAAGCUGUACAUUAUAAGAUUUUCUCUUUGAUAUCCUUAUUGACGGUCUAGACAAACAUAUAUCUUCGGUAGAGUAUUGUACCAUCCUUAAAUAUUGGCUUAUGAUUCCCUUAUUUCAUGUUGAAGAGGUUUGUUAUGUAUACCCACAAAGCGUCCUUGGAUACAUUUGAGAACACGUUAUUCAUUCCAACGAGCUCUGAGAAUUCAUAAACUUAUAUGACUAUGUUAUGAAUGUUCUAUUUGAAAAAAUUAGACCCUUACAAUUUUUUUGAUUAAUCCACACAAGAGAAGAUGAAAAUUUAUAUAUAAUCUUAAUUAUAUAUAUUGUAAAAUCAUAAUGCAUAAAAAAUUAUUUUCAUAAAUAUAAUUUUUAAAAAUAUUCAUCUUAUCAUUAAAAAAUAAUAGCGGUGUAUAACUAACCGUCCAUCUUCAAAGUUAUUUUGCAGGUGCCUAAUUCUCUAAAAUAUAUGCCUAAUUUUGCAUGUGCCUAAUUCUAUAAAAAUUAUUUCAGUCAAUUUAGAGCUGUAUUUUUAUAUGCCUUAUAUUUCUAAGAUAUACAAUUGAGAUUAUACACAAAUAGUAUAAACCCAUGUCUAUACCGGUUUAAUGUCCAUGUUACCUUAGAAACUUGCAAAAUUGUAUUUAAUUUUUUAUAAUUGAAAAAAUGAUAAGAUUUUUUUAUAAUUGUAUUUAAUAUAAACGAAUGGGUCAUUCUAAUUUGAUUUUGAUAAUAAAAAAUGAUAAGAUUUUUUUAUACACCAAUUUUUUAAAGUCUAGACGGAUUGAGUAAUACAUUAGACAAAUCCCUAUCCAAUCUAAUCCAAUAUGUUACACCUAUUGACUAGAGUGAAACUUCUAUCCAAUCUAAUCCAAUAUGUUACACCUAUUGACUAGAGUGAAACUUUUGCAUGAUGAUUCAUAAUUAUUUAUUUCAUUUAAAAUUGAUCUAUCUUCUUUUUAAUUGAGAUCACAACGAAUCAUUAAUAUCAAGAUGGCUCACAUUUUUUUUAUUAAUUAUAGUUUUUAUUUAUUUAUUAUGGUACAAUAUAUAACUAUUUGUUAGUACAAUAUAAAUAAAAUUAUAAGAAUGUGAAUAAAGCUCUUUAAAAAAUCAUAUUGUAAAUAAAUAGUCAUACUUUUGCACAAAAAAUGUUGGCCCUAGACUAUAAUCUAAUUUUAAAUUGAUUACUCCAUUUAUUUACUUUUAUGAAUGAGAUGUAUUUUUGUUUUUCAUUUUUGUCUUAUAAAUUGGGCCAUAAUAAUAGCAAAUUGGGCUCUAAAUGACGGGCCCAGGAUCCAAUUGGGUAUUAAGCUUCAAUAUCUAUAAACAGAAUUAGGGUUUUUAUCCCAGAAAGAGAGACGAAGAAGCAGAUUCCGAACCAGAGAGGCGUAGGGAGCGAAAAUGGUGAAGUUCUUGAAACCUAACAAGGCGGUGAUUCUCUUGCAAGGCCGAUAUGCCGGCAAGAAAGCCGUGAUUGUGAAAACCUUCGACGACGGAACCCGUGAGAAGCCUUACGGACACUGUCUUGUUGCUGGAAUCAAGAAGUACCCUAGCAAAGUGAUCAAGAAAGACUCAGCGAAGAAGACGGCGAAGAAAUCUAGGGUUAAGGCAUUCGUGAAGCUGGUGAAUUAUCAACAUCUGAUGCCUACUCGUUACACUCUGGAUGUGGAUCUGAA
rnacentral:lncRNA from 1 species